UCACCCAUCGUAGUACUACUCUCGCCCAAGCACGCUUAACUGUAGAGUUCUGAUGGGAUCCGGUUCAUUAUUGCUGGUAUGAUCGCAUCCGUUACUACAUGCAAUGCAAUCGUAUCUAUUCUUUUUUGAAGACUUUAUGAUCCAUUUGCCGUGGGUCCCACCAGCUAUGUUGGAAUACCCUAUCUUGUUUAUAAGAGCUUUGUUACAUGCAAAAUAUUCGAAAACAAUGUCCGAACAUAUAAUAUUUGCCCCGUAAUAUAGCAAAGAUCACGAAAAGGCCAGAAAACCUAUAUUAAGUUCAAAAUUUGGAGUAGAAAAAAACCAAUAGAAGAAUUCCAUUUUCCUUCCUCACUCAUCGGAGAGCUCUCUUUGGGGCUUUCCGAAAAGGUAUCACAUGCAAAGUUUGGCCUCACAGGCUAAAAGUUAUAGAGUCGUACAUUUUUAACAAAAAAAAAAAGAGAAAAGCCGAAAAAAAGAAGGAUGCAACACAAGGACUUUCCGGGAGGUCAGCCAUCCUAAUAUUACUCUCGCCCAAGCACGCUUAACUGUAGAGUUCUGAUGGGAUCCGGUGCAUUAGUGCUGGUAUGAUCGCAUCUGUUACUACAUGCAAUGCAAUCGUAUCUAUUCUUUUUUUAAGACUUUAUGAUCCAUUUACCGUGGGUCCCACCAGCUACGUAGGAAUAACCUAUCUUAUUUAUAAGAGCUUUGAUACAUGCAAAAUAUUCGAAAACAAUGUCCGAACAUAUAAUUUUCGUCCCGUAAUAUAGCAAAGAUCACAAAAAGGCCAGAAAGAGUACAUUAAGGUCAAAAUUUUGGAGUAGAAAAAAAAACCCUUCCUCAUUCAUUAAAGAGCUCUCUUUGGCAUUUCCGAAAAGGUGUCACAUGCCAAGUUCGGCCUCACGGUCUAAAAGUUAUAGAGUCAUACAUUGUUAACAAAAAAAAAGAGAAAAACCGAUUAAAAGAGUUAUGCAACACAAGGACUUUCCUGGAGGUCACCCGUCCUAGUACUACUCUCGCCCAAGCACGCUUAAAUGCGGAGUUCUGAUGGGAUCCGGUCCAUGAGUGGUGGUAUGAUCACAUCCGUUACUACAUGCAAUGCAAUCGUAUCUAUUAUUUUUUGAAGACUUUAUGAUCCAUUUGCCGUGGGUCCCACCAGCUAUGUAGGAAUACCCUAUCUUGUUUAUAAGAGCUUUGAUACAUCCAAAAUAUUCGAAAACAAUGUUGGAACGUAUAAGUUUCGCUCAGUAAUAUAGCAAAGAUCACGAAAAGGCCACAAAAAGUACAUUAAGGUAAAAAUUUAGAGUAGGAAAAAAAAACAAUAGGAGAAUUCCAUGUUCCUUCCUCAAUCAUCGGAGAGCUCUCUUUGGGCUUUCCAAAAAGGUAUCACAUGCCAAGUUUGGCCUCACGGUCUAAAAGUUAUAGAGUCAUACAUUUUUAACAAAAAAAAAUAGAGAAAAACCAAAAAAAAGAGGGAUGCAACACGAAGACUUUCCUGGAGGUCACCCAUCCUAGUACUACUCUCGCCCAAGCACGCUUAACUGCGGUGUUCUGAUAGGAUCAAGUGCAUUAGUGCUGGUAGGAUCGCAUUCGUUACUACAUGCAAUGCAAUUAUAUAUAUUCUUUUUUGAAGACUUUAUGAUCCAUUUGCGGUAGGUCCCACCAGCUAUGUAGGAAUACCCUAUCUUGCUUAUAAGAGUUUUGAUACAUGCAAAAAUAUUCGAAAACAAUGUCCGAACAUAUAAUUUUUGUCCCGUAAUAUAACAAAGAUCACGAAAAGGCCAAAAAUAGUACAUUUCGGUCAAAACAUGGAGCAGAAAAAAAACCCCUUCCUCAUUCAUCGGAGAGCUCUCAUUGGGCUUUCCGAAAAGAUAUCACAUGCAAAGUUUGGCCUCACGGUUUAAAAGUUAUAGAGUCAAAUAUUUUUAACAAAAAAAAGAGAGAAAAACCGAAAACAAAGAGGGAUGCAACACGAGGACUUUCCGGAAGGUCACCCAUCCUAGUACUACUCUAGCCCAAGCACGCUUAACCGCGGAGUUCUGAUAGGAUCCGGUGCAUUAGUGCUGGUAUGAUCGCAUCAGUUACUACAUGCAAUGCAAUCAUAUAUAUUUUUUUUGAAGACUUUAUGAUCCAUUUGCCGUGGGUCCCACCAGCUAUGUAGGAAUACCUAUCUUGUUUAUAAGAGCUUUGAUACAUGCAAAAUAUUUGAAAACAAUGUCCGAACGUAUAAUCUUCGUCCCGUAAUAUAGCAAAGAUCACGAAAAGGCCAGAAAAAGUACAUUAAGGUCAAAAUUUUGACUAGAAAAAAAAAACAAUAGAAAAAUUCCAUUGUCCUUCCUCAUUCAUCGGAGAGUUCUCUUUGGGCUUUCCGAAAAGGUAUCACAUGCCAAGUUUGGCCUCACGGUCUAAAACUUAUAGAAUCAUACAUUCUUAACAAAAAAAAAAAAAAAACCGAAAAAAAGAAGAAUGCAACACAAGGACUUUCCAGGAGGUCAACCAUCCUAGUAGUACUCUCGCCCAAUCACGCUUAACUGCAGAGUUCUGAUGGGAUCCGGUGCAUUAGUGCUGGUAUGAUCGCAUCUGUUACUACAUGCAAUGCAAUCGUAUCUAUUCUUUUUUGAAGACUUUAUGAUCCAUUUGCCGUGGGUCCCACCAGCUAUGUAGGAAUACCUUAUCUUGUUUAUAAGAGCUUUGAUACAUGCAAAAUAUUCGAAUACAAUGUCUGAACGUAUAACUUUCGCCCCGUAAUAUAGCGAAGAUCACGAAAAGGCCCGAAAAAGUACAUUAAGGUCAAAAUUUCGAGUAGAAAUAAAAACCAAUAGAAGAAUUCCAAUUUCCUUCCUCAUUCAUUGGAGAGCUCUCUUUGGGCUUUCCGAAAAGGUAUCACAUGCGAAGUUUCGCCUCACAAUCUAAAAGUUAUAUAGUCAUACAUUUUUAACAAAACAAAUAGAGAAAAACCGAAAAAAAGAAUGAUACAACACAACGACUUUCCCGGAGGUCACCCAUCCUAAUACUAUUCUCGCCCAAGCAAGCUUAACUGCAGAGUAUUGAUGGGAUCUGAUGCAUAAGUGCUGAUAUGAUCGCAUCCGUUACUACAUGCAAUGCAAUCGUAUCUAUUCGUUUUUGAAGACUUUAUGAUCCAUUUGCCGUGGGUCCCACCAGCUAUGUAGGAAUACCCUAUCUUGUUUAUAAGAGCUUUGAUACAUGCAAAAAAUUGGAAAACAAUGUCUGAACAUAUAAUUUUUGUCCCGUAAUAUAGCAAAGAUCACGAAAAGGAUAGAAAAAGUACAUUAAGGUCAAAAUUUUGAGUAGAAAAAAAAUCAAUAGAAGGAUUCCAAUUUCCUUGCUCAUUCAUAUAGCUCUCUUUGGGCUUUCCGAAAAGGUAUCACAUGCAAAGUUUGGCCUCGCGGUCUAAAAGUUAUAGAGGUAUACUUUUUUACCAAAAAAAAAGAAGAAAAAAACCAAAAAAAAGAGGGAUUCAACACGAGGACUUUCUGGGAGGUCACUCAUCCUAUUACUACUCUCGCCCAAGCACGCUUAACUGCGGAGUUCUGAUAGGAUCCAGUGCAUUAGUGCGGGUAUGAUCACAUCCGUUACUACAUGCAAUGCAAUCGUAUAUAUUUUUUUUGAAGACUUUAUGAUCCAUUUGCCGUGGGUCUCACCAGCUAUAUAGGAAUACCCUAUCUUGUUUAUAAGAGCUUUGAUACAUGCAAAAUAUUUGAAAACAAUGUCCGAACGUAUAAUCUUCGUCCCGUAAUAUAGCAAAGAUCACUAAAAGGCUAGAAAAAGUACAUUAAGAUCAAAAUUUUGAGUAGAAAAAUAAACAAUAGAAAAAUUCCAUUGUCCUUCCUCAUUCAUCGGAGAGUUCUCUUUGGGCUUUCCGAAAAGGUAUCACAUGCCAAGUUUGGCCUCACGGUCUAAAACUUAUAGAAUCAUACAUUCUUAACAAAAAAAAAAGAGAAAAACCGAAAAAAAGAAGAAUUUAACACAAGGACUUUCCAGGAGGUCAACCAUCCUAGUAGUACUCUCGCCCAAUCACGCUUAACUGCAGAGUUCUGAUGGGAUCCGGUGCAUUAGUGCUGGUAUGAUCGCAUCUGUUACUACAUGCAAUGCAAUCGUAUCUGUUACUACAUGCAAUGCAAUCGUAUCUGUUACUACAUGCAAUGCAAUCGUAUCUAUUCUUUUUUGAAGACUUUAUGAUCCAUUUGCCGUGGGUCCCACCAGCUAUGUAGGAAUACCCUAUCUUGUUUAUAAGAGCUUUGAUACAUGCAAAAUAUUCGAAUACAAUGUCUAAACGUAUAAGUUUCGCCCCGUAAUAUAGCGAAGAUCACGAAAAGGCCCGAAAAAGUACAUUAAGGUCAAAAUUUGGAGUAGAAAUAAAAACCAAUAGAAGAAUUCCAAUUUCCUUCCUCAUUCAUUGGAGAGCUCUCUUUGGGCUUUCCGAAAAGGUAUCACAUGCGAAGUUUGGCCUCACAAUCUAAAAGUUAUAUAGUCAUACAUUUUUAACAAAACAAAUAGAGAAAAACCGAAAAAAAGAAUGAUACAACACAAGGACUUUCCGGGAGGUCACCCAUCCUAAUACUAUUCUCGCCCAAGCAAGCUUAACUGCAGAGUAUUGAUGGGAUCUGAUGCAUAAGGGCUGAUAUGAUCGCAUCCGUUACUACAAGCAAUGCAAUCGUAUCUAUUCGUUUUUGAAGACUUUAUGAUCCAUUUGCCGUGGGUCCCACCAGCUAUGUAGGAAUACCCUAUCUUGUUUAUAAGAGCUUUGAUACAUGCAAAAAAUUGGAAAACAAUGUCUGAACAUAUAAUUUUUGUCCCGUAAUAUAGCAAAGAUCACGAAAAGGAUAGAAAAAGUACAUUAAGGUCAAAAUUUUGAGUAGAAAAAAAAUCAAUAGAAGGAUUCCAAUUUCCUUCCUCAUUCAUAUAGCUCUCUUUGGGCUUUCCGAAAAGGUAUCACAUGCAAAGUUUGGCCCCGCGGUCUAAAAGUUAUAGAGGUAUACAUUUUUACCAAAAAAAAGAGGGAUUCAACACGAGGACUUUUUUNNNNNNNNNNNNNNNNNNNNNNNNNNNNNNNNNNNNNNNNNNNNNNNNNNUGCUGGUAUGAUCGCAUCAGUUACUACAUGCAAUGCAAUCAUAUAUAUUCUUUUUUGAAGACUUUAUGAUCCAUUUGCCGUAGGUCCCACCAGCUAUGUAGGAAUACCCUAUCUUGUUUAUAAGAGCUUUGAUACAUGCAAAAUAUUCGAAAACAAUGUCCGAACAUAUAAUUUUUGUCCCGUAAUAUAGCAAAGAUCACGAAAAGGCCAGAAAAAAUACAUUUCGGUCAAAAUUUGGAGUAGAAAAAAAGCCCUUCCUCAUUCAUUGGACAGCUCUCUUUGGGCUUUCCGAAAAGGUAUCACAUGCCAAGUUUGGCCUCACGGUCUAAACCUUAUAGACUCAUACAUUUUUCACAAAAAAAAGAAGAGAAAAACCAAAAAAAAGAGUGAUUAAACACGAGGAUUUUCCUGGAGGUCACCCAUCCUAGUACUACUCUCGCCCAAGCACGCUUAACUGCGAAGGUCUGAUGGGAUAUGGUGCAUUAGUGCUGGUAUGAUCGCAUCUGUUACUACAUGCAAUGCAAUCGUAUCUAUUCUUUUUUGAAGAUUUGAUGAUUCAUUUACCGUGGGUCCCACCAGCUAUGUAGGAAUAACCUAUCUUAUUUAUAAAAGCUUUGAUACAUGCAAAAUAUUCGAAAACAAUGUCCGAACAUAUAAUGUUCGCCCCAAAAUAUAGCAAAGACCACAAAAAUGCCAUAAAAAGUACAUUAAGGUCAAAAUUUGGAGUAGGAAAAAAAUCAAUAGGAGAAUUCCAUUUUCCUUCCCUCAUUCAUCAGAGAGCUCUCUUUGGGCAUUCCAAAAAGGUAUCACAUGCCAAGUUUGGCCUCACGGUCUAAAAGUUAUAGAGUAUUACAUUUUUAACAAAAAAAAAAGGGAAAAACCGAAAAAGAGGGAUGCAACACGAAGACUUUUCUGGAGGUCACCCAUUCUAGUACUACUCUCCCCCAAGCACGCUUAACUGUGGUGUUCUAAUAGGAUCAAGUGCAUUAGUGCUGGUAUGAUCGCAUCAGUUACUACAUGCAAUGCAAUCAUAUAUAUUCUUUUUUGAAGACUUUAUGAUCCAUUUGCCGUAGGUCCCACCAGCUAUGUAGGAAUACCCUAUCUUGUUUAUAAGAGCUUUGAUACAUGCAAAAUAUUCGAAAACAAUGUCCGAACAUAUAAUUUUUGUCCCGUAAUAUAGCAAAGAUCACGAAAAGGCCAGAAAAAAUACAUUUCGGUCAAAAUUUGGAGUAGAAAAAAAGCCCUUCCUCAUUCAUUGGACAGCUCUCUUUGGGCUUUCCGAAAAGGUAUCAUAUGCCAAGUUUGGCCUCACGGUCUAAACCUUAUAGACUCAUACAUUUUUCACAAAAAAAAGAAGAGAAAAACCAAAAAAAAGAGUGAUUAAACACGAGGACUUUCCUGGAGGUCAUCCAUCCUAGUACUACUCUCGCCCAAGCACGCUUAAUUGCGAAGUUCUGAUGGGAUCUGGUGCAUUAGUGCUGGUAUGAUCGCAUAUGUUACUACAUGCAAUGCAAUCGUAUCUAUUCUUUUUUGAAGAUUUUAUGAUUCAUUUACCGUGGGUACCACCAGCUAUGUAGGAAUAACCUAUCUUAUUUAUAAGAGCUUUGAUACAUGCAAAAUAUUCGAAAACAAUGUCCGAACAUAUAAUUUUUGUCCCGUAAUAUAGCAAAGAUCACGAAAAGGCCAGAAAAAAUACAUUUCGGUCAAAAUUUGGAGUAGAAAAAAACCCUUCCUCAUUCAUUGGACAGCUCUGUUUGAGCUUUCCGAAAAGGUAUCACAUGCCAAGUUUGGCCUCACGGUCUAAAAGUUAUAGAGUCAUACAUUUUUCACAAAAAAAAGAAGAGAAAAACCAAAAAAAAGAGUGAUGAAACACGAGGACUUUCCUGGAGGUCACCCAUCCUAGUACUACUCUCGCCCAAGCACGCGUAACUGCGAAGUUCUGAUGGGAUCUGGUGCAUUAGUGCUGGUAUGAUCGCAUCUGUUACUACAUGCAAUGCAAUCGUAUCUAUUCUUUUUUGAAGAUUUUAUGAUUCAUUUACCGUGGGUCCCACCAGCUAUGUAGGAAUAACCUAUCUUAUUUAUAAGAGCUUUGAUACAUGCAAAAUAUUGGAAAACAAUGUCCGAACAUAUAAUGUUCGCCCCAAAAUAUAGCAAAGACAACAAAAAUCCCAUAAAAAGUACAUUAAGGUCAAAAUUUGGAGUAGGAAAAAAAUCAAUAAGAGAAUUCCAUUUUCCUUCCCUCAUUCAUCGGAGAGGUCUCUUUGGGCAUUCCAAAAAGGUAUCACAUGCCAAGUUUGGCCUCACGGUCUAAAAGUUAUAGAGUAAUACAUUUUUAACAAAAAAAAAAGAGAAAAACCGAAAAAAAGAGGGAUGCAACACGAAGACUUUUCUGGAGGUCACCCAUCCUAGUACUACUCUCCCAAAGCACGCUUAACUGUGGUGUUCUGAUAGGAUCAAGUGCAUUAGUGCGGGUAUGAUCGCAUCAGUUACUACAUGCAAUGCAAUCAUAUAUAUUCUUUUUUGAAGACUUUAUGAUCCAUUUGCCGUAGGUCCCACCAGCUAUGUAGGAAUACCCUAUCUUGUUUAUAAGAGCUUUGAUACAUGCAAAAUAUUCGAAAACAAUGUCCGAACAUAUAAUUUUUGUCCCGUAAUAUAGCAAAGAUCACGAAAAGGCCAGGAAAAAUACAUUUCGGUCAAAAUUUGGAGUAGAAAAAAAACCCUUCCUCAUUCAUUGGACAGCUCUCUUUGGGCUUUCCGAAAAGGUAUCACAUGCCAAGUUUGGCCUCACGGUCUAAAAGUUAUAGAUUCAUACAUUUUUCACAAAAAAAAGAAGAGAAAAACCAAAAAAAAGAGGGAUGAAACACGAGGACUUUCCCAGAGGUCACCCAUCCUAGUACUACUCUCGCCCAAGCACGCUUAACUGCGAAGUUCUGAUGGGAUCUGGUGCAUUAGUGCUGGUAUGAUCGCAUCUGUUACUACAUGCAAUGCAAUCGUAUCUAUUCUUUUUUGAAGAUUUUAUGAUUCAUUUACCGUGGGUCCCACCAGCUAUGUAGGAAAACCUAUCUUAUUUAUAAGAUCUUUGAUACAUGCAAAAUAUUGGAAAACAAUGUCCGAACAUAUAAUGUUCGCCCCAAAAUAUAGCGAAGACCACAAAAAUGCCAUAAAAAGUACAUUAAGGUCAAAAUUUGGAGUAGGAAAAAAAUCAAUAGGAGAAUUCCAUUUUCCUUCCCUCAUUCAUCGGAGAGCUCUCUUUGGGCAUUCCAAAAAGGUAUCACAUGCCAAGUUUGGCCUCACGGUCUAAAAGUUAUAGAAUAUUACAUUUUUAACAAAAAAAAAGAGAAAAACCAAAAAAAAGAGGGAUGCAACACGAGGACUUUUCUGGAGGUCACCCAUCCUACUACUACUCUCGCCCAAGCACACUUAACUGCGGUGUUCUGAUAGGAUCAAGUGCAUUAGUGCUGGUAUGAUCGCAUCAGUUACUACAUGCAAUGCAAUCAUAUAUAUUCUUUUUUGAAGACUUUAUGAUCCAUUUGCCGUAGGUCCCACCAGCUAUGUAGGAAUACCCUAUCUUGUUUAUAAGAGCUUUGAUACAUGCAAAAUAUUCGAAAACAAUGUCCGAACAUAUAAUUUUUGUCCCGUAAUAUAGCAAAGAUCACGAAAAGGCCAGAAAAAAUACAUUUUGGUCAAAAUUUGGAGUAGAAAAAAAGCCCUUCCUCAUUCAUUGGACAGCUCUCUUUGGGCUUUCCGAAAAGGUAUCACAUGCCAAGUUUGGCCUCACGGUCUAAACCUUAUAGACUCAUACAUUUUUCACAAAAAAAAGAAGAGAAAAACCAAAAAAAAGAGUGAUUAAACACGAGGAUUUUCCUGGAGGUCACCCAUCCUAGUACUACUCUCGCCCAAGCACGCUUAACUGCGAAGGUCUGAUGGGAUAUGGUGCAUUAGUGCUGGUAUGAUCGCAUCUGUUACUACAUGCAAUGCAAUCGUAUCUAUUCUUUUUUGAAGAUUUGAUGAUUCAUUUACCGUGGGUCCCACCAGCUAUGUAGGAAUAACCUAUCUUAUUUAUAAAAGCUUUGAUACAUGCAAAAUAUUCGAAAACAAUGUCCGAACAUAUAAUGUUCGCCCCAAAAUAUAGCAAAGAUCACAAAAAUGCCAUAAAAAGUACAUUAAGGUCAAAAUUUGGAGUAGGAAAAAAAUCAAUAGGAGAAUUCCAUUUUCCUUCCCUCAUUCAUCGGAGAGCUCUCUUUGGGCAUUCCAAAAAGGUAUCACAUGCCAAGUUUGGCCUCACGGUCUAAAAGUUAUAGAGUAUUACAUUUUUAACAAAAAAAAAAGGGAAAAACCGAAAAAGAGGGAUGCAACACGAAGACUUUUCUGGAGGUCACCCAUCCUAGUACUACUCUCCCCCAAGCACGCUUAACUGUGGUGUUCUAAUAGGAUCAUGUGCAUUAGUGCUGGUAUGAUCGCAUCAGUUACUACAUGCAAUGCAAUCAUAUAUAUUCUUUUUUGAAGACUUUAUGAUCCAUUUGCCGUAGGUCCCACCAGCUAUGUAGGAAUACCCUAUCUUGUUUAUAAGAGCUUUGAUACAUGCAAAAUAUUCGAAAACAAUGUCCGAACAUAUAAUUUUUGUCCCGUAAUAUAGCAAAGAUCACGAAAAGGCCAGAAAAAAUACAUUUCGGUCAAAAUUUGGAGUAGAAAAAAAGCCCUUCCUCAUUCAUUGGACAGCUCUCUUUGGGCUUUCCGAAAAGGUAUCAUAUGCCAAGUUUGGCCUCACGGUCUAAACCUUAUAGACUCAUACAUUUUUCACAAAAAAAAGAAGAGAAAAACCAAAAAAAAGAGUGAUUAAACACGAGGACUUUCUUGGAGGUCAUCCAUCCUAGUACUACUCUCGCCCAAGCACGCUUAACUGCGAAGUUCUGAUGGGAUCUGGUGCAUUAGUGCUGGUAUGAUCGCAUCUGUUACUACAUGCAAUGCAAUCGUAUCUAUUCUUUUUUGAAGAUUUUAUGAUUCAUUUACCGUGGGUACCACCAGCUAUGUAGGAAUAACCUAUCUUAUUUAUAAGAGCUUUGAUACAUGCAAAAUAUUCGAAAACAAUGUCCGAACAUAUAAUUUUUGUCCCGUAAUAUAGCAAAGAUCACGAAAAGGCCAGAAAAAAUACAUUUUGGUCAAAAUUUGGAGUAGAAAAAAACCCUUCCUCAUUCAUUGGACAGCUCUGUUUGAGCUUUCCGAAAAGGUAUCACAUGCCAAGUUUGGCCUCACGGUCUAAAAGUUAUAGAGUCAUACAUUUUUCACAAAAAAAAAGAAGAGAAAAACCAAAAAAAAGAGUGAUGAAACACGAGGACUUUCCUGGAGGUCACCCAUCCUAGUACUACUCUCGCCCAAGCACGCGUAACUACGAAGUUCUGAUGGGAUCUGGUGCAUUAGUGCUGGUAUGAUCGCAUCUGUUACUACAUGCAAUGCAAUCGUAUCUAUUCUUUUUUGAAGAUUUUAUGAUUCAUUUACCGUGGGUCCCACCAGCUAUGUAGGAAUAACCUAUCUUAUUUAUAAGAGCUUUGAUACAUGCAAAAUAUUGGAAAACAAUGUCCGAACAUAUAAUGUUCGCCCCAAAAUAUAGCAAAGACAACAAAAAUGCCAUAAAAAGUACAUUAAGGUCAAAAUUUGGAGUAGGAAAAAAAUCAAUAAGAGAAUUCCAUUUUCCUUCCCUCAUUCAUCGGAGAGCUCUCUUUGGGCAUUCCAAAAAGGUAUCACAUGCCAAGUUUGGCCUCACGGUCUAAAAGUUAUAGAGUAGUACAUUUUUAACAAAAAAAAAAGAGAGAAACCGAAAAAAAGAGGGAUGCAACACGAAGACUUUUCUGGAGGUCACCCAUCCUAGUACUACUCUCCCAAAGCACGCUUAACUGUGGUGUUCUGAUAGGAUCAAGUGCAUUAGUGCGGGUAUGAUCGCAUCAGUUACUACAUGCAAUGCAAUCAUAUAUAUUCUUUUUUGAAGACUUUAUGAUCCAUUUGCCGUAGGUCCCACCAGCUAUGUAGGAAUACCCUAUCUUGUUUAUAAGAGCUUUGAUACAUGCAAAAUAUUCGAAAACAAUGUCCGAACAUAUAAUUUUUGUCCCGUAAUAUAGCAAAGAUCACGAAAAGGCCAGGAAAAAUACAUUUCGGUCAAAAUUUGGAGUAGAAAAAAAACCCUUCCUCAUUCAUUGGACAGCUCUCUUUGGGCUUUCCGAAAAGGUAUCACAUGCCAAGUUUGGCCUCACGGUCUAAAAGUUAUAGAUUCAUACAUUUUUCACAAAAAAAAGAAGAGAAAAACCAAAAAAAAGAGGGAUGAAACACGAGGACUUUCCCAGAGGUCACCCAUCCUAGUACUACUCUCGCCCAAGCACGCUUAACUGCGAAGUUCUGAUGGGAUCUGGUGCAUUAGUGCUGGUAUGAUCGCAUCUGUUACUACAUGCAAUGCAAUCGUAUCUAUUCUUUUUUGAAGAUUUUAUGAUUCAUUUACCGUGGGUCCCACCAGCUAUGUAGGAAAACCUAUCUUAUUUAUAAGAUCUUUGAUACAUGCAAAAUAUUGGAAAACAAUGUCCGAACAUAUAAUGUUCGCCCCAAAAUAUAGCGAAGACCACAAAAAUGCCAUAAAAAGUACAUUAAGGUCAAAAUUUGGAGUAGGAAAAAAAUCAAUAGGAGAAUUCCAUUUUCCUUCCCUCAUUCAUCGGAGAGCUCUCUUUGGGCAUUCCAAAAAGGUAUCACAUGCCAAGUUUGGCCUCACGGUCUAAAAGUUAUAGAAUAUUACAUUUUUAACAAAAAAAAAGAGAAAAACCGAAAAAAAGAGGGAUGCAACACGAAGACUUUUCUGGAGGUCACCCAUCCUACUACUACUCUCGCCCAAGCACACUUAACUGCGGUGUUCUGAUAGGAUCAAGUGCAUUAGUGCUGGUAUGAUCGCAUCAGUUACUACAUGCAAUACAAUCAUAUAUAUUCUUUUUUGAAGACUUUAUGAUCCAUUUGCCGUAGGUCCCACCAGCUAUGUAGGAAUACCUUAUCUUGUUUAUAAGAGCUUUGAUACAUGCAAAAUAUUCGAAAACAAUGUCCGAACAUAUAAUUUUUGUCCCGUAAUAUAGCAAAGAUCACGAAAAGGCCAGAAAAAAUACAUUUCGGUCAAAAUUUGGAGUAGAAAAAAAACCCUUCCUCAUUCAUUGGACAGCUCUCUUUGGGCUUUCCGAAAAGGUAUCACAUGCCAAGUUUGGCUUCACGGUCUAAACCUUAUAGACUCAUACAUUUUUCACAAAAAAAAGAAGAGAAAAACAAAAAAAAAGAGUGAUUAAACACGAGGACUUUCCUGGAGGUCACCCAUCCUAGUACUACUCUCGCCCAAGCACUCUUAACUGCGAAGUUCUGAUGGGAUCUGGUGCAUUAGUGCUGGUAUGAACGCAUCUGUUACUACAUGCAAUGCAAUCGUAUGUAUUCUUUUUUGAAGAUUUUAUGAUUCAUUUACCGUGGGUCCCACCAGCUAUGUAGGAAUAACCUAUCUUAUUUAUAAAAGCUUUGAUACAUGCAAAAUAUUCGAAAACAAUGUCCGAACAUAUAAUGUUCGCCCCAAAAUAUAGCAAAGACCACAAAAAUGCCAUAAAAAGUACAUUAAGGUCAAAAUUUGGAGUAGGAAAAAAAUCAAUAGGAGAAUUCCAUUUUCCUUCCCUCAUUCAUCGGAGAGCUCUCUUUGGGCAUUCCAAAAAGGUAUCACAUGCCAAGUUUGGCCUCACGGUCUAAAAGUUAUAGAGUAUUACAUUUUUAACAAAAAAAAAAAGAGAAAAACCGAAAAAAAGAGGGAUGCAACACGAAGACUUUUCUGGAGGUCACCCAUCCUAGUACUACUCUCCCCCAAGCACGCUUAACUGUGGUGUUCUGAUAGGAUCAAGUGCAUUAGUGCUGGUAUGAUCGCAUCAGUUACUACAUGCAAUGCAAUCAUAUAUAUUCUUUUUUGAAGACUUUAUGAUCCAUUUGCCGUAGGUCCCACCAGCUAUGUAGGAAUACCCUAUCUUGUUUAUAAGAGCUUUGAUACAUGCAAAAUAUUCGAAAACAAUGUCCGAACAUAUAAUUUUUGUCCCGUAAUAUAGCAAAGAUCACGAAAAGGUCAGAAAAAAUAUAUUUCGGUCAAAAUUUGGAGUAGAAAAAAAGCCCUUCCUCAUUCAUUGGACAGCUCUCUUUGGGCUUUCCGAAAAGGUAUCACAUGCCAAGUUUGGCCUCACGGUCUAAACCUUAUAGACUCAUACAUUUUUCAUAAAAAAAAGAAGAGAAAAACAAAAAAAAAAAGAGUGAUUAAACACGAGGACUUUCCUGGAGGUCACCCAUCCUAGUACUACUCUCGCCCAAGCACGCUUAACUACGAAGUUCCGAUGGGAUCUGAUGCAUUAGUGCUGGUAUGAUCGCAUCUGUUACUACAUGCAAUGCAAUCGUAUCUAUUCUUUUUUGAAGAUUUUAUGAUUCAUUUACUGUGGGUCCCACCAGCUAUGUAGGAAUAACCUAUCUUAUUUAUAAAAGCUUUGAUACAUGCAAAAUAUUGGAAAACAAUGUCCGAACAUAUAAUGUUCGCCCCAAAAUAUAGCAAAGACCACAAAAAUGCCAUAAAAAGUACAUUAAGGUCAAAAUUUGGAGUAGGAAAAAAAUCAAUAGGAGAAUUCCAUUUUCCUUCCCUCAUUCAUCGGAGAGCUCUCUUUGGGCAUUCCAAAAAGGUAUCACAUGCCAAGUUUGGCCUCACGGUCUAAAAGUUAUAGAGUAAUACAUUUUUAACAAAAAAAAAAAAGAAAAAAACCGAAAACAAAGAGGGAUGCAACACGAAGACUUUCCUGGAGGUCACCCAUCCUAGUACUACUCUCACCCAAGCACACNUUAACUGUGGUGUUCUGAUAGGAUCAAGUGCAUUAGUGCUGGUAUGAUCGCAUCAGUUACUACAUGCAAUGCAAUCNNNNNNNNNNNNNNNNNNNNNNNNNNNNNNNNNNNNNNNNNNNNNNNNNNCUCCUCAGUCAUCUUUGAGCUCUCUUUGGGCUUUCCGAAAAGGUAUCACAUGCCCAGUUUGGCCUCACGGUCUAAAAGUUAUAAAGUCAUACAUUUUUAACAAAAAAAAAAGAGAAAAACCGAAAAAAAGAGGGAUGCAAUACGAGGACUUUCCACGAGGUCACCCAUCCUAGUACAACUCUCGCCAAAGCAUGCUUAACUGCGGAGUUUAGAUGGGAUCUGGUGCAUUAGUGCUGGUAUGAUCGCAUCUGUUACUACAUGCAAUGCAAUCGUAUCUAUUCUUAUUUAAAGACUUUAUCAUCCAUUUGCCAUGGGUCCCACCUGUAGGAAUACCCAAUCUUGUUUAUAAGAGCUUUGAUACAUGCAAAAUAUUCGAAAACAACGUCCGAACAUAUAAUUUUCGCCCCGUAAUAUAGCAAAGAUCACGAAAAGGCCCGAAAAAGUACAUUAAGGUCAAAAUUUGGAAUAGAAAAAAAAACCAAAAGAAGUAUUCCAUUGUCCUUUGUCAUUCAUCGAAGAGCUCUCUUUGGGCUUUCCGAAAAGGUAUCGCAAGCCAAGUUUGGCCUCACGGUUUAAAAGUUAUAAAGUCAUACAUUUUUAACAAAAAAAAAAAGAGAAAAAACCGAAAAAAAGAGGGAUGCAACACGAGGACUUUUCUGGAGGUCACCCAUCCUAGUACUACUCUCGCCCGAUCACCCUUAACUGCGUAGUUUUGAUGGGAUUCGAUGCAUUAGUGCUGGUAUGAUCGCAUCUGUUACUACAUGCAAUGUAAUCGUAUCUAUUCUUUUUUAAAGACUUUAUGAUCCAUUUGCCGUGGGUCCCACCAGCUAUGUAGGAAUACCCUAUCUUCUUUAUAAGAGCUUUGAUAUAUGCAAAAUAGUGGAAAACCAUGUCCGAACAUAUAAUUUUUCCCCUGUAAUAUAGCAAAGAUCAAGAAAAAGCCAAAAAAAGUAUAUUUAGGUCAAAAUUUGGAGUAGAAAAAAAAACAAUAGAAGAAUUCCAUUUUCCUUCCUCAGUCAUCGGAGAGCUCUCUUUCGGCUUUCCGAAAAGGUAUCAAAUGCCAAGUUUGGCCUCACGGUCUAAAAGUUAUAGAGUCAUACAUUUUUAACAAUACAAAGUAGAGAAAACCGGAAAAAAGAGGGAUGCAACAUGAGGACUUUCCGGGAGGUAAUCCAUCCUAGUACAACUCUUGCCCAAGCACCCUUAACUGCGGAGUUCUGAUGGAAUCCGGUGCAUUAGUGCUGGUAUGAUCGCAUCUGUUACUACAUGCAAUGUAAUCGUAUCUAUUUUUUUUUAAAGACUUUAUGAUCCAUUUGCCGUGGGUCCCACCAGCUAUGUAGGAAUACCCUAUCUUCUUUAUAAGAGCUUUGAUACAUGCAAAAUAUAUGAAAAAACGUUCGAACAUAUAAUUUUUCCCCCCGUAAUAUAGCAAAGAUCACGAAAAGGCCCGAAAAAGUACAUUUAGUUCAAAAUUUGGAGUAGAAAAACCCAAUAGAAGAAUUCCAUUUUCCUUCGUCAUUCAUCGGAGAGCUCUCUUUGGGCUUUCCGAAAAGGUAUCACAUGCCAAGUUUGGCCUCACGGUCUAAAAGUUAUAGAGUCAUACAUUUUUAACAAAACAAAAUUGAGAAAAACCGAAAAAAGAGGGAUGCAACACGAGGACUCUCCAGAAGGUAACCCAUCUUAGUACUACUUUCGCCCAAGCACCCUUAACUGCGGAGUUCUGAUAGGACCCGGUGCAUUAGUGCUGGUAUGAUCGCAUGUGUUACUACAUGCAAUGUAAUCGUAUAUAUUCAUUUUUAAAGACUUUAUGAUCCAUUUGCCGUGGGUCCUACCAGCUAUGUAGAAAUACCCUAUCUUCUUUAUAAGAGCUUUCAUUCACGCAAAAUAAUGGAAAACAAUGUCCGAAGAUAUAAUUCCCCCCCCCCCCCCCCCGUAAUAUAGCAAAGAUCACGAAAAGGCCCGAAAAAGUACAUUAAGUUCAAAAUUUGGAGUAGAAAAAAAAACAAUAGAAGAAUUCCAUUUUCCUUCCUCAGUCAUCGGAGAGCUCUCUUUGGGCUUUCCGAAAAGGUAUCACAUGCCAAGUUUGGCCUCACGGUCUAAAGGUUAUAGAGUCAUACAUUUUUAACAAAAAAAAAUAGAAAAACAGAAAAAAGAGGGAUGCAAUACGAGGACUUUCCAGGAGGUCACCCAUCCUAGUACAACUCUCGCCGAAGCACGCUUAACUACGGUGUUCAGAUGGAAUCUGGUGCAUUAGUGCUGGUAUGAUGUCAUUUGUUACUACAUGCAAUGCAAUCAUAUCUAUUCUUAUUUAAAGACUUUAUGAUCCAUUUGCCGUGGGUCCCACCUGUAGGAAUACCCUAUCUUGUUUAUAAAAGAUUUGAUACAUGCAAAAUACUCGAAAACAAUGUCCGAACAUAUAAUUUUCACCCCGUAAUAUAGCAAAGAUCACGAAAAGGCCCGAAAAAGUACAUUAAAGUCAAAAUUUGGAGUAGAAAAAAACCCAAUAGAAGUAUUCCAUUCUCCUUCGUCAUUCAUCGGAGAGCUCUCUUUAGGCUUUCCGAAAAGAUAUCACAUGCCAAGUUUGGCCUCACGGUUUAAAAGUUAUAGAGUCAUAGAUUUUUAACAAAACAAAAAGAGAAAAACCGAAAAAAAAUUGGGAUGCAACACGAGGACUUUCCUGGAGGUCACCCAUCCUAGUACUACUCUUGCCCAAGCACCCUUAACUGCGUAGUUCUGAUGGGAUCCGAUGCUUUAGGGCUGGUAUGAUCGCAUCUGUUACUACAUGCAAUGUAAUCGUAUCUAUUCUUUUUUAAAGACUUUAUGAUCCAUUUGCCGUGGGUCCCACCAGCUAUGUAGGAAUACCCUAUCUUCUUUAUAAGAGCUUUGAUAAAUGCAAAAUAUUGGAAAGCAAUGUCCGAACAUAUAAUUUCGCCCCCGUAAUAUAGCAAAGAUCACGAAAAAGCCCAAAAAAGUUCAUUUAGGUCAAAAUUUGAGCAGAAGAAAAAGAAAUAGAAGAAUUCCAUUUUCCUUCCUCAUUUAUUGGAGAGCUCUCUUUGGGCUUUCCGAAAAGGUAUCACAUGCCAAGUUUGGCCUCACGGUCUAAAAGUUAUAGAGUCAUACAGUUUUAACAAAAUGAAAUAGAGAAAAACCGAAAAAAAGAGGGAUGUAACACGAGGACUUUCCGGGAGGUAAUCUAUCCUACUACUACUCUCGGCCAAGCACCCUUAACUGCGGAGUUCUAAUGGGAUCCGGUGCAUUAGUGCUAGUAUGAUCGCAUGUGUUACUACAUGCAAUGUAAUCGUAUCUAUUCUUUUUUAAAGACUUUAUGAUCCAUUUGCCGUGGGUCCCACCAGCUAUGUAGGAAUACCCUAUCUUCUUUAUAAGAGCUUUGAUACAUGCAAAAUAUAUGAAAAAAACGUCCGAACAUAUAAUUUUCCCCCCGUAAUAUAGCAAAGAUCAUGAAAAGGCCCAAAAAAGUACAUUAAUGUCAAAAUUUGGCGUAGAAAAAAAACCAAUAGACAUAUUCCAUUGUCCUUCAUCAUUCAUUGAAGAGCUCUCUUUGGGCUUUCCGAAAAGGUAUCACAUGCCAAGUUUGGCCUCACGGUCUAAAAGUUAUAGAGUCAUACAUUUUUAACAAUACAAAAUAGAGAAAAACCGAAAAAAAGAGGGAUGCAACACGAGGACUUUCCGGGAGGUAAUCCAUCCUAGUACUACUCUCGCCCAAGCACCCUUAACUGCGGAGUUCUGAUGGGACCCGGUGCAUUAGUGCUGGUAUGAUCGCAUCUGUUACUAUAUGCAAUGUAAUCGUAUCUAUUCUUUUUUAAAGACUUUAUGAUCCAUUUGCCGUGGGUCCCACCAGCUAUGUAGGAAUACCCUAUCUUCUUUAUAAGAGCUUUGAUAUAUGCAAAAUAUUGGAACACCAUGUCCGAACAUAUAAUUUUUCCCGUGUAAUAUAGCAAAGAUCAAGAAAAAGACAAAAGAGUACAUUUAGGUCAAAAUUUGAGUAGAAAAAAACAAAUAGAAGAAUUCCAUUUUCCUUCCUCAUUCAGCUGAGAGCUCUCUUUGGGCUUUCCGAAAAGGUAUCAUAUGCCAAGUUUGGCCUCACAGUGUAAAAGUUAUAGAGUCUAACAUUUUUAACAAAACAAAAUAGAGAAAAACCAAAAAAAGAGGGAUGCAACACGAGGACUUUCUGGGAGGUCACCCAUCCUAGUACUACUCUCGCCCAAGCACCCUUAACUGCGGAGUUCUGAUGGGAUCCGGUGCAUUAGUGCAGGUAUGAUCGCAUGUGUUACUACAUGCAAUGUAAUCCUAUCUAUUCUUUCUUAAAGACUUUAUGAUCCAUUUGCCGUGAGUCCCACCAGCUAUGUAGGAAUACCCUAUCUUCUUUAUAAGAGCUUUGAUACAUGCAAAAUAUUGGAAAACAAUAUCCGAACAUAUAGUUUUCCCCCCGUAAUAUAGCAAAGAUCACGAAAAGGCCCGAAAAAGUACAUUUAGUUCAAAAUUGGGAGUAGAAAAAAAAACAAUAGAAGAAUUCCAUUUUACUUCCUCAGUCAUCGGAGAGCUCUCUUUGGGCUUUCCGAAAAGGUAUCACAUGCCCAGUUUGGCCUCACGGUCUAAAAGUUAUAAAGUCAUACAUUUUUAACAAAAACAAAAGAGAAAAACCGAAAAAAAAGAGGGAUGCAAUACGAGGACUUUCCACGAGGUCACCCAUCCUAGUACAACUCUCGCCGAAGCAUGCUUAACUGCGGAGUUUAGAUGGGAUCUGGUGCAUUAGUGCUGGUAUGAUCGCAUCUGUUACUACAUGCAAUGCAAUCGUAUCUAUUCUUAUUUAAAGACUUUAUCAUCCAUUUGCCAUGGGUCCCACCUGUAGGAAUACCCAAUCUUGUUUAUAAGAGCUUUGAUACAUGCAAAAUAUUCGAAAACAACGUCCGAACAUAUAAUUUUCGCCCCGUAAUAUAGCAAAGAUCACGAAAAGGCCCGAAAAAGUACAUUAAGGUCAAAAUUUGGAAUAGAAAAAAAAACCAAUAGAAGUAUUCCAUUGUCCUUUGUCAUUCAUCGAAGAGCUCUCUUUGGGCUUUCCGAAAAGGUAUCGCAAGCCAAGUUUGGCCUCACGGUUUAAAAGUUAUAAAGUCAUACAUUUUUAACAAAAAAAAAAAGAGAAAAAACCGAAAAAAAGAGGGAUGCAACACGAGGACUUUUCUGGAGGUCACCCAUCCUAAUACUUCUCUCGCCCGAUCACCCUUAACUACGUAGUUUUGAUGGGAUUCGAUGCAUUAGUGCUGGUAUGAUCGCAUCUGUUACUACAUGCAAUGUAAUCGUAUCUAUUCUUUUUUAAAGACUUUAUGAUCCAUUUGCCGUGGGUCCCACCAGCUAUGUAGGAAUACCCUAUCUUCUUUAUAAGAGCUUUGAUAUAUGCAAAAUAUUGGAAAACCAUGUCCGAACAUAUAAUUUUUCCCCUGUAAUAUAGCAAAGAUCAAGAAAAAGCCAAAAAAGUAUAUUUAGGUCAAAAUUUGGAGUAGAAAAAAAAACAAUAGAAGAAUUCCAUUUUCCUUCCUCAGUCAUCGGAGAGCUCUCUUUGGGCUUUCCGAAAAGGUAUCAAAUGCCAAGUUUGGCCUCACGGUCUAAAAGUUAUAGAGUCAUACAUUUUUAACAAUACAAAGUAGAGAAAACCGGAAAAAAGAGGGAUGCAACAUGAGGACUUUCCGGGAGGUAAUCCAUCCUAGUACAACUCUUGCCCAAGCACCCUUAACUGCGGAGUUCUGAUGGAAUCCGGUGCAUUAGUGCUGGUAUGAUCGCAUGUGUUACUACAUGCAAUGUAAUCGUAUCUAUUCUUUUUUAAAGACUUUAUGAUCCAUUUGCCGUGGGUCCCACCAGCUAUGUAGGAAUACCCUAUCUUCUUUAUAAGAGCUUUGAUACAUGCAAAAUAUAUGAAAAAACGUUCGAACAUAUAAUUUUUCCCCCCGUAAUAUAGCAAAGAUCACGAAAAGGCCCGAAAAAGUACAUUUAGUUCAAAAUUUGGAGUAGAAAAACCCAAUAGAAGAAUUCCAUUUUCCUUCGUCAUUCAUCGGAGAGCUCUCUUUGGGCUUUCCGAAAAGGUAUCACAUGCCAAGUUUGGCCUCACGGUCUAAACGUUAUAGAGUCAUACAUUUUUAACAAAACAAAAUUGAGAAAAACCGAAAAAAAGAGGGAUGCAACACGAGGACUCUCCAGAAGGUAACCCAUCUUAGUACUACUUUCGCCCAAGCACCCUUAACUGCGGAGUUCUGAUAGGACCCGGUGCAUUAGUGCUGGUAUGAUCGCAUGUGUUACUACAUGCAAUGUAAUCGUAUAUAUUCAUUUUUAAAGACUUUAUGAUCCAUUUGCCGUGGGUCCUACCAGCUAUGUAGAAAUACCCUAUCUUCUUUAUAAGAGCUUUCAUUCACGCAAAAUAAUGGAAAACAAUGUCCGAAGAUAUAAUUUCCCCCCCCCCCCGUAAUAUAGCAAAGAUCACGAAAAGGCCCGAAAAAGUACAUUAAGUUCAAAAUUUGGAGUAGAAAAAAAAACAAUAGAAGAAUUCCAUUUUCCUUCCUCAGUCAUCGGAGAGCUCUCUUUGGGCUUUCCGAAAAGGUAUCACAUGCCAAGCUUGGCCUCACGGUCUAAAGGUUAUAGAGUCAUACAUUUUUAACAAAAAAAAAAUAGAAAAACAGAAAAAAGAGGGAUGCAAUACGAGGACUUUCCAGGAGGUCACCCAUCCUAGUACAACUCUCGCCGAAGCACGCUUAACUACGGUGUUCAGAUGGAAUCUGGUGCAUUAGUGCUGGUAUGAUGUCAUUUGUUACUACAUGCAAUGCAAUCAUAUCUAUUCUUAUUUAAAGACUUUAUGAUCCAUUUGCCGUGGGUCCCACCUGUAGGAAUACCCUAUCUUGUUUAUAAAAGAUUUGAUACAUGCAAAAUACUCGAAAACAAUGUCCGAACAUAUAAUUUUCACCCCGUAAUAUAGCAAAGAUCACGAAAAGGCCCGAAAAAGUACAUUAAAGUCAAAAUUUGGAGUAGAAAAAAACCCAAUAGAAGUAUUCCAUUCUCCUUCGUCAUUCAUCGGAGAGCUCUCUUUAGGCUUUCCGAAAAGAUAUCACAUGCCAAGUUUGGCCUCACGGUUUAAAAGUUAUAGAGUCAUAGAUUUUUAACAAAACAAAAAGAGAAAAACCGAAAAAAAUUGGGAUGCAACACGAGGACUUUCCUGGAGGUCACCCAUCCUAGUACUACUCUCGCCCAAGCACCCUUAACUGCGUAGUUCUGAUGGGAUCCGAUGCUUUAGUGCUGGUAUGAUCGCAUCUGUUACUACAUGCAAUGUAAUCGUAUCUAUUCUUUUUUAAAGACUUUAUGAUCCAUUUGCCGUGGGUCCCACCAGCUAUGUAGGAAUACCCUAUCUUCUUUAUAAGAGCUUUGAUAAAUGCAAAAUAUUGGAAACCAAUGUCCGAACAUAUAAUUUCGCCCCCGUAAUAUAGCAAAGAUCACGAAAAAGCCCAAAAAAGUUCAUUUAGGUCAAAAUUUGAGCAGAAGAAAAAGAAAUAGAAGAAUUCCAUUUUCCUUCCUCAUUUAUUGGAGAGCUCUCUUUGGGCUUUCCGAAAAGGUAUCACAUGCCAAGUUUGGCCUCACGGUCUAAAAGUUAUAGAGUCAUACAUUUUUAACAAAAUGAAAUAGAGAAAAACCGAAAAAAAGAGGGAUGUAACACGAGGACUUUCCGGGAGGUAAUCUAUCCUACUACUACUCUCGGCCAAGCACCCUUAACUGCGGAGUUCUAAUGGGAUCCGGUGCAUUAGUGCUGGUAUGAUCGCAUGUGUUACUACAUGCAAUGUAAUCGUAUCUAUUCUUUUUUAAAGACUUUAUGAUCCAUUUGCCGUGGGUCCCACCAGCUAUGUAGGAAUACCCUAUUUUCUUUAUAAGAGCUUUGAUACAUGCAAAAUAUUGGAAAACAAUGUCCGAACAUAUUAUUUUCCCCCCGUAAUAUAGCAAAGAUCACGAAAAGGCCCGAAAAAGUACAUUUAGUUCAAAAUGUGGAGUAGAAAAAAAAACAAUAGAAGAAUUCCAUUUUCCUUCGUCAUUCAUCGGAGAGCUCUCUUUAGGCUUUCCGAAAAGGUAUCACAUGCCAAGUUUGGCCUCACGGUCUAAAAGUUAUAGAAUCAUACAUUUUUAACAAAACAAAAUAGAGAAAAACCGAAAAAGAGGGAUUUAACACGAGGACUUUCCGAGAGGUAACCCAUCCUAGUACUACUCUCGUCCAAGCACCCUUAACUGCGGAGUUCUGAUGGGAUCCGGUGUAUUAGUGCUGGUAUGAUCGCAUGUGUUACUACAUGCAAUGUAAUCGUAUCUAUUCUUUUUUAAAGACUUUAUAAUCCAUUUGCCGUGGGUCCCACCAGCUAUGUAGGAAUACCCUAUUUUCUUUAUAAGAGCUUUGAUACAUGCAAAAUAUUAGAAAACAAUGUCCGAACAUAUUAUUUUCCCCCCGUUAUAUAGCAAAGAUCACGAAAAGGCCCGAAAAAGUACAUUUAGUUCAAAAUUUGGAGUAGAAAAAAAAACAAUAGAAGAAUUCCAUUUUCCUUCGUCAUUCAUCGGAGAGCUCUCUUUAGGCUUUCCGAAAAGGUAUCACAUGCCAAGUUUGGCCUCACGGUCUAAAAGUUAUAGAGUCAUACAUUUUUAACAAAACAAAAUAGAGAAAAACCGAAAAAAGAGGGAUUUAACACGAGGACUUUCUGAGAGGUAACCCAUCCGAGUACUACACUCGCCCAAGCACCCUUAACUACGGAGUUCUGAUGGGAUACGGUGCAUUAGUGCUGGUUUGAUCGCAUCUGUUACUACAUGCAAUGUAAUCGUAUCUAUUCUUUUUUAAAGACUUUAUGAUCCAUUUGCCGUGGGUGCCACCAACUAUGUAGGAUUAUCCUAUAUUCUUUAUAAGAGCUUUGAUACAUGAAAAAUAUUCGAAAACAAUGUCCGAACAUAUAAUUUCCACCCGUAAUAUAGCAAAGAUCACGAAAAGGCCCAAAAAAGUACAUUAAGUUUAAAAUUUGGAGUAGAAAAAAAACCAAUAGAAGAAUUCCAUUUUCCUUCCUCAGUCAUCGGAGAGCUCUCUUUGGGCUUUCCGAAAAGGUAUCACAUGCCAAGUUUGACCUCACGGUCUAAAGGUUAUAGAGUCAUACAUUUUUAACAAAAAAAAAUAGAAAAACAGGAAAAAAGAGGGAUGCAAUACGAGGACUUUCCAGGAGGUCACCCAUCCUAGUACAACUCUCGCCGAAGCACGCUUAACUGCGGUGUUCAGAUGGGAUCUGGUGCAUUAGUGCUCGUAUGAUGGCAUUUGUUACUACAUGCAAUGCAAUCGUAUCUACUCUUAUUUAAAGACUUUAUGAUCCAUUUGCCGUGGGUGCCACCAACUAUGUAGGAUUAUCCUAUAUUCUUUAUAAGAGCUUUGAUACAUGCAAAAUAUUCGAAAGCAAUGUCCGAACAUAUAAUUUCCCCCCCGUAAUAUAGCAAAGAUCACGAAAAGGCCCGAAAAAGUACAUUUAGUUCAAAAUUUGGAGUAGAAAAAAAAACAAUAGAAGAAUUCCAUUUUCCUUCGUCAUUCAUCGGAGAGCUCUCUUUAGGCUUUCCGAAAAGGUAUCACAUGCCAAGUUUGGCCUCACGGUCUAAAAGUUAUAGAGUCAUACAUUUUCAACAAAACAAAAUAGAGAAACACCGAAAAAAGAGGGAUUUAACACGAGGACUUUCCGAGAGGUAACCCAUCCUAGUACUACUCUCGUCCAAGCACCCUUAACUGCGGAGUUCUGAUGGGAUCCGGUGCAUUAGUGCUGGUAUGAUCGCAUGUGUUACUACAUGCAAUGUAAUCAUAUCUAUUCUUUUUUUAAAGACUUUAUGAUUCAUUUGCCGUGGGUCCCACCAGCUAUGUAGGAAUACCCUAUUUUCUUUAUAACAGCUUUGAUACAUGCAAAAUAUUGGAAAACAAUGUCCGAACAUAUUAUUUUCCUCCCGUAAUAUAGCAAAGAUCACGAAAAGGCCCGAAAAAGUACAUUUAGUUCAAAAUUUGGAGUAGAAAAAAAAACAAUAGAAGAAUUCCAUUUUCCUUCGUCAUUCAUCGGAGAGCUCUCUUUAGGCUUUCCGAAAAGGUAUCACAUGCCAAGUUUGGCCUCACGGUCUAAAAGUAUAGAGUCAUACAUUUUUAAAAAAACAAAAUAGAGAAAAACCGAAAAAAGAGGGAUUUAACACGAGGACUUUCCGAGAGGUAACCCAUCCUAGUACUACUCUCGUCCAAGCACCCUUAACUGCGGAGUUCUAAUGGGAUCUGGUGCAUUAGUGCUGGUAUGAUCGCAUGUGUUACUACAUGCAAUGUAAUCGUAUCUAUUCUUUUUUAAAGACUUUAUGAUCCAUUUGCCGUGGGUCCCACCAGCUAUGUAGGAAUACCCUAUUUUCUUUAUAAGAGCUUUGAUACAUGCAAAAUAUUGGAAAACAAUGUCCGAACAUAUUAUUUUCCCCCCGUUAUAUAGCAAAGAUCACGAAAAGGCCCGAAAAAGUACAUUUAGUUCAAAAUUUGGAGUAGAAAGAAAAACAAUAGAAGAAUUCCAUUUUCCUUCGUCAUUCAUCUGAGAGCUCUCUUUAGGCUUUCCGAAAAGGUAUCACAUGCCAAGUUUGGCCUCACGGUCUAAAAGUUAUAGAGUCAUACAUUUUUAACAAAACAAAAUAGAGAAAAACCGAAAAAGAGGGAUUUAAGACGAGGACUUUCUGAGAGGUAACCCAUCCGAGUACUACACUCGCCCAAGCACCCUUAACUACGGAGUUCUGAUGGGAUACGGUGCAUUAGUGCUGGUUUGAUCGCAUGUGUUACUACAUGCAAUGUAAUCGUAUCUAUUCUUUUUUAAAGACUUUAUGAUCCAUUUGCCGUGGGUGCCACCAACUAUGUAGGAUUAUCCUAUAUUCUUUAUAAGAUCUUUGAUACUUGCAAAAUAUUCGAAAAAAAUGUCCGAACAUAUAAUUUCCCCCCCGUAAUAUAGCAAAGAUCACGAAAAGGCCCAAAAAAGUACAUUAAGUUUAAAAUUUGGAGUAGAAAAAAAACCAAUAGAAGAAUUCCAUUUUCCUUCCUCAGUCAUCGGAGAGCUCUCUUUGGGCUUUCCGAAAAGUUAUCACAUGCCAAGUUUGACCUCACGGUCUAAAGGUUAUAGAGUCAUACAUUUUUAACAAAAAAAAAUAGAAAAACAGGAAAAAAGAGGGAUGCAAUACGAGGACUUUCCAGCAGGUCACCCAUCCUAGUACAACUCUCGCCAAAGCACGCUUAACUGCGGUGUUCAGAUGGGAUCUGGUGCAUUAGUGCUUGUAUGAUGGCAUUUGUUACUACAUGCAAUGCAAUCGUAUCGAUUCUUAUUUAAAGACUUUAUGAUCCAUUUGUCGUGGGUGCCACCUGUAGGAAUACCCUAUCUUGUUUAUAAGAGAUUUGAUACAUGCAAAAUAUUCGAAAACAAUGUCCGAACAUAUAAUUUUUGCCCCGUAAUAUAGAAAAGAUCACAAAAAAGUCCAAAAAAGUACAUUUAGGUCAAAAUUUGAGCAGAAAAAAAAGAAAUAGAAGAAUUCCAUUUUCCUUCGUCAUUCAUCGGAGAGCUCUCUUUAGGCUUUCCGAAAAGAUAUCACAUGCCAAGUUUGGCCUCACGGUCUAAAAGUUAUAGAGUCAUACAUUUUUCACAAAACAAAAAGAGAAAAACCGAAAAAAAUAGGGAUGCAACACGAGGACUUUCCUGGAGGUCACCCAUCCUAGUACUAAUCUCGCCCAAGCACCCUUAACUGCGUAGUUCUGAUGGGAUCCGAUGCAUUAGUCCUGGUAUGAUCGCAUCUGUUACUAUAUGCAAUAUAAUCGUAUCUAUUCUUUUUUAAAGACUUUAUGAUCCAUUUGCCGUGGGUCCCACCAGCUAUGUAGGAUACCCUAUCUUCAUAAUAAGAGCUUUGAUAAAUGCAAAAUAUUGGAAAACAAUGUCCGAACAUAUAAUUUCCCCCCCCCCCCCCGUAAUAUAGCAAAGAUCACGAAAAAGCCCAAAAAAGUACAUUUAGGUCAAAAUUUGAGUAGAAAAAAAAACAAAUAGAGGAAUUCCAUUUUCCGUCCUCAUUCAUCGGAGAGCUCUCUUUCGGCUUUCCGAAAAGGUAUCACAUGCCAAGUUUGGCCUCACGGUCUAAAAGUUAUAGAGUCAUACAUUUUUAACAAAACAAAAUAGAGAAAAACCGAAAAAAAGAAGGAUGCAACACGAGGACUUCCCGGGAGGUCACCCAUCCUAGUACUACUCUCGCCUAAGCACCCUUAACUGCGGAGUUCUGAUGGGAUCAGGUGCAUUAGUGCUGGUAUGAUCGCAUGUGGUACUACAUGCAAUGUAAUCGUAUCUAUUCCUUUUGAAAGACUUUAUGAUCCAUUUGCCGUGGGUCCCACCAGCUAUGUAGGAAUACCCUAUCUUCUUUAUAAGAGCUUUGAUACAUGCAAAAUAUUUGAAAACAAUGUCCGAACAUAUAAUUUUCCCCCCGUUAUAUAGCAAAGAUCACGAAAAGGCCCAAAAAAGUACAAUUAGUUCAAAAUUUGGAGUAGAAAAAAAAACAAUAGAAGAAUUCCAUUUUCCUUCCUCAGUCAUCGGAGAGCUCUCUUUGGGCUUUCCAAAAAGGUAUCACAUGCCAAGUUUGGCCUCACAGUCUAAAAGUUAUAGAGUCAUACAUUUUUAACAAAACAAAAUAGAGAAAAACCGAAAAAAAGAGGGAUGCAACACGAGGACUUUCCGGGAGGUAACCCAUCCUAGUACUACUCUCGCCCAAGCACCCUUAACUGCGGAGUUUUGAUGGGAUCCGGUGCAUUAGUGUUGGUAUGAUCGCAUGUGUUACUACAUGCAAUGUAAUCGUAUCUAUUCCUUUUGAAAGACUUUAUGAUCCAUUUGCCGUGGGUCCCACCAGCUAUGUAGGAAUACCCUAUCUUCUUUAUAAGAGCUUUGAUACAUACAAAAUAUUGGAUCACAAUGUCAUAACAUAUAAUUUUCCCCCCUUAAUAUAGCAAAGAUCACGAAAAGGCCCGAAAAAAUACAUUUAGUUCAAAAUUUGGAGUAGAAAAAAAAAAUAUAAGAAUUCCAUUUUCCUUCCUCUGUUAUCGGAGAGCUCUCUUUGGGCUUUCCGAAAAGGUAUCACAUGCCAAGUUUGGCCUCACGGUCUAAAAGAUAUAAAGUCAUACAUUAUUAACAAAACAAAAUAGAGAAAAACCGAAAAAAAGAAGGAUGCAACACGAGGACUUUCCGGGAGGUAAUCUAUCCUAGUACUACUCUCGCCCAAGCACCCUUAACUGCGGAGUUCUGAUGGGAUCCGGUGCAUUAGUGUUGGUAUGAUCGCAUGUGUUACUACAUGCAAUGUAACCGUAUCUAUUCUUUUUUAAAGACUUUAUGAUCCAUUUGCCGUGGGUCCCACCAGCUAUGUAGGAAUAUUCUAUCUUCUUUAUAAGAGCUUUGAUACAUGCAAAAUAUUGGAAAACAACGUCCGAACAUAUAAUUUCCCCCCCCCCCCGUAAUAUAGCAAAAAUCACGAAAAGGCCCGAAAAAGUACAUUUAGUUCAAAAUUUGCAGUAGAAAAAAAAACAAUAGAAGAAUUUCAUUUUCCUUCCUCAGUCAUCGGAGAGCUCUCUUUGGGCUUUCCAAAAAGGUAUCACAUGCCAAGUUUGGCCUCACAGUCUAAAAGUUAUAGAGUCAUACAUUUUUAACAAAACAAAAUAGAGAAAAACCGAAAAAAGAGGGAUGCAACACGAGGACUUUCCCGGAGGUAAUCUAUCCUAGUACUACUCUCGCCCAAGCACCCUUAACUGCGGAGUUCUGAUGGGAUCCGGUGCAGUAGUGCUGGUAUGAUCGCAUGUGUUACUACAUGCAAUGUAAUCGUAUCUAUUCUUUUUUAAAGACUUUAUGAUCCAUUUGCCGUGAGUCCCACCAGCUAUGUAGGAAUAUUCUAUCUUCUUUAUAAGAGCUUUGAUACAUGCAAAAUACUGGAAAACAAUGUCCGAACAUAUAAUUUUCCCCACGUAAUAUAGCAAAGAUCACGAAAAGGCCCGAAAAAGUACAUUUAGUUCAAAAUUUGGAGUAGAAAAAAAAACAAUAGAAGAAUUUCAUUUUCCUUCCCUAGUCAUCGGAGAGCUCUCUUUGGGCUUUCCAAAAAGGUAUCACAUGCCAAGUUUGGCCUCACAGUCUAAAAGUUAUAGAGUCAUACAUUUUUAACAAAACAAAAUAGAGAAAAACCGAAAAAAAAGAGGGAUGCAACACGAGGACUUUCUGGGAGGUAAUCUAUCCUAGUACUACUCUCGCCCAAGCACCCUUAACUGCGGAGUUCUGAUGGGAUCCGGUGCAGUAGUGCUGGUAUGAUCGCAUGUGUUACUACAUGCAAUGUAAUCGUAUCUAUUCUUUUUUAAAGACUUUAUGAUCCAUUUGCCGUGAGUCCCACCAGCUAUGUAGGAAUAUUCUAUCUUCUUUAUAAGAGCUUUGAUACAUGCAAAAUACUGGAAAACAAUGUCCGAACAUAUAAUUUUCCCCCCGUAAUAUAGCAAAGAUCACGAAAAGGCCCAGAAAAGUACAUUUAGUUCAAAAUUUGGAGUAGAAAAAAAAACAAUAGAAGAAUUCCAUUUUCCUUCCUCAAUCAUCGGAGAGCUCUCUUUGGGCUUUCCGAAAAGGUAUCUCAUGCCAAGUUUGGCCUCACGAACUAAAAGUUAUAGAGUCAUACAUUUUUAACAAAACAAAAUAGAGAAAAACCGAAAAAAGAGGGAUGCAACACAAGGACUUUCCGGGAGGUCACCCAUCCUAGUACUACUCUCGCCCAAGCACCCUUAACUGCGGAGUUCUGAUGGGAUCCAGUGCAUUAGUGCUGGUAUGAUCGCAUGUGUUACUACAUGCAAUGUAAUCGUAUCUAUUCUUUUUUAAAGAUUUUAUGAUCCAUUUGCCGUGGGUCCCACCAGCUAUGUAGGAAUACCCUAUCUUCUUUAUAAGAGCUUUGAUACAUACAAAAUAUUGGAUCACAAUGUCAGAACAUAUAAUUUUCCCCCCUUAAUAUAGCAAAGUUCACUAAAAGGCCCGAAAAAAUACAUUUAGUUCAAAAUUUGGAGUAGAAAAAAAAACAAUAGAAGAAUUUCAUUUUCCUUCCUCAGUCAUCGGAGAGCUCUCUUUGGGCUUUCCAAAAAGGUAUCACAUGCCAAGUUUGGCCUCACAGUCUAAAAGUUAUAGAGUCAUACAUUUUUAACAAAACAAAAUAGAGAAAAACCGAAAAAAGAGGGAUGCAACACGAGGACUUUCCCGGAGGUAAUCUAUCCUAGUACUACUCUCGCCCAAGCACCCUUAACUGCGGAGUUCUGAUGGGAUCCGGUGCAGUAGUGCUGGUAUGAUCGCAUGUGUUACUACAUGCAAUGUAAUCGUAUCUAUUCUUUUUUAAAGACUUUAUGAUCCAUUUGCCGUGAGUCCCACCAGCUAUGUAGGAAUAUUCUAUCUUCUUUAUAAGAGCUUUGAUACAUGCAAAAUACUGGAAAACAAUGUCCGAACAUAUAAUUUUCCCCACGUAAUAUAGCAAAGAUCACGAAAAGGCCCGAAAAAGUACAUUUAGUUCAAAAUUUGGAGUAGAAAAAAAAACAAUAGAAGAAUUUCAUUUUCCUUCCUCAGUCAUCGGAGAGCUCUCUUUGGGCUUUCCAAAAAGGUAUCACAUGCCAAGUUUGGCCUCACAGUCUAAAAGUUAUAGAGUCAUACAUUUUUAACAAAACAAAAUAGAGAAAAACCGAAAAAAAAGAGGGAUGCAACACGAGGACUUUCUGGGAGGUAAUCUAUCCUAGUACUACUCUCGCCCAAGCACCCUUAACUGCGGAGUUCUGAUGGGAUCCGGUGCAGUAGUGCUGGUAUGAUCGCAUGUGUUACUACAUGCAAUGUAAUCGUAUCUAUUCUUUUUUAAAGACUUUAUGAUCCAUUUGCCGUGAGUCCCACCAGCUAUGUAGGAAUAUUCUAUCUUCUUUAUAAGAUCUUUGAUACAUGCAAAAUACUGGAAAACAAUGUCCGAACAUAUAAUUUUCCCCCCGUAAUAUAGCAAAGAUCACGAAAAGGCCCAGAAAAGUACAUUUAGUUCAAAAUUUGGAGUAGAAAAAAAAACAAUAGAAGAAUUCCAUUUUCCUUCCUCAAUCAUCGGAGAGCUCUCUUUGGGCUUUCCGAAAAGGUAUCUCAUGCCAAGUUUGGCCUCACGAACUAAAAGUUAUAGAGUCAUACAUUUUUAACAAAACAAAAUAGAGAAAAACCGAAAAAAGAGGGAUGCAACACAAGGACUUUCCGGGAGGUCACCCAUCCUAGUACUACUCUCGCCCAAGCACCCUUAACUGCGGAGUUCUGAUGGGAUCCAGUGCAUUAGUGCUGGUAUGAUCGCAUGUGUUACUACAUGCAAUGUAAUCGUAUCUAUUCUUUUUUAAAGAUUUUAUGAUCCAUUUGCCGUGGGUCCCACCAGCUAUGUAGGAAUACCCUAUCUUCUUUAUAAGAGCUUUGAUACAUACAAAAUAUUGGAUCACAAUGUCAGAACAUAUAAUUUUCCCCCCUUAAUAUAGCAAAGUUCACUAAAAGGCCCGAAAAAAUACAUUUAGUUCAAAAUUUGGAGUAGAAAAAAAAACAAUAGAAGAAUUUCAUUUUCCUUCCUCAGUCAUCGGAGAGCUCUCUUUGGGCUUUCCAAAAAGGUAUCACAUGCCAAGUUUGGCCUCACAGUCUAAAAGUUAUAGAGUCAUACAUUUUUAACAAAACAAAAUAGAGAAAAACCGAAAAAAAGAGGGAUGCAACACGAGGACUUUCUGGGAGGUAAUCUAUCCUAGUACUACUCUCGCCCAAGCACCCUUAACUGCGGAGUUCUGAUGGGAUCCGGUGCAGUAGUGCUGGUAUGAUCGCAUGUGUUACUACAUGCAAUGUAAUCGUAUCUAUUCUUUUUUAAAGACUUUAUGAUCCAUUUGCCGUGAGUCCCACCAGCUAUGUAGGAAUAUUCUAUCUUCUUUAUAAGAGCUUUGAUACAUGCAAAAUACUGGAAAACAAUGUCCGAACAUAUAAUUUUCCCCCCGUAAUAUAGCAAAGAUCACGAAAAGGCCCGAAAAAGUACAUUUAGUUCAAAAUUUGGAGUAGAAAAAAAAACAAUAGAAGAAUUCCAUUUUCCUUCCUCAAUCAUCGGAGAGCUCUCUUUGGGCUUUCCGAAAAGGUAUCUCAUGCCAAGUUUGGCCUCACGAACUAAAAGUUAUAGAGUCAUACAUUUUUAACAAAACAAAAUAGAGAAAAACCGAAAAAAGAGGGAUGCAACACAAGGACUUUCCGGGAGGUCACCCAUCCUAGUACUACUCUCGCCCAAGCACCCUUAACUGCGGAGUUCUGAUGGGAUCCAGUGCAUUAGUGCUGGUAUGAUCGCAUGUGUUACUACAUGCAAUGUAAUCGUAUCUAUUCUUUUUUAAAGAUUUUAUGAUCCAUUUGCCGUGGGUCCCACCAGCUAUGUAGGAAUACCCUAUCUUCUUUAUAAGAGCUUUGAUACAUACAAAAUAUUGGAUCACAAUGUCAGAACAUAUAAUUUUCCCCCCUUAAUAUAGCAAAGUUCACUAAAAGGCCCGAAAAAAUACAUUUAGUUCAAAAUUUGGAGUAGAAAAAAAAACAAUAGAAGAAUUUCAUUUUCCUUCCUCAGUCAUCGGAGAGCUCUCUUUGGGCUUUCCAAAAAGGUAUCACAUGCCAAGUUUGGCCUCACAGUCUAAAAGUUAUAGAGUCAUACAUUUUUAACAAAACAAAAUAGAGAAAAACCGAAAAAAAGAGGGAUGCAACACGAGGACUUUCUGGGAGGUAAUCUAUCCUAGUACUACUCUCGCCCAAGCACCCUUAACUGCGGAGUUCUGAUGGGAUCCGGUGCAGUAGUGCUGGUAUGAUCGCAUGUGUUACUACAUGCAAUGUAAUCGUAUCUAUUCUUUUUUAAAGACUUUAUGAUCCAUUUGCCGUGAGUCCCACCAGCUAUGUAGGAAUAUUCUAUCUUCUUUAUAAGAGCUUUGAUACAUGCAAAAUACUGGAAAACAAUGUCCGAACAUAUAAUUUUCCCCCCGUAAUAUAGCAAAGAUCACGAAAAGGCCCGAAAAAGUACAUUUAGUUCAAAAUUUGGAGUAGAAAAAAAAACAAUAGAAGAAUUCCAUUUUCCUUCCUCAAUCAUCGGAGAGCUCUCUUUGGGCUUUCCGAAAAGGUAUCUCAUGCCAAGUUUGGCCUCACGAACUAAAAGUUAUAGAGUCAUACAUUUUUAACAAAACAAAAUAGAGAAAAACCGAAAAAAGAGGGAUGCAACACAAGGACUUUCCGGGAGGUCACCCAUCCUAGUACUACUCUCGCCCAAGCACCCUUAACUGCGGAGUUCUGAUGGGAUCCGGUGCAUUAGUGCUGGUAUGAUCGCCCGUGUUACUACAUGCAAUGCAAUCGUAUCUAUUCUUUUUUAAAGAUUUUAUGAUCCAUUUGCCGUGGGUCCCACCAGCUAUGUAGGAAUACCCUAUCUUCUUUAUAAGAGGUUUGAUACAUACAAAAUAUUGGAUCACAAUGUCAGAACAUAUAAUUUUCCCCCCUUAAUAUAGCAAAGAUCACUAAAAGGCCCGAAAAAAUACAUUUAGUUCAAAAUUUGGAGUAGAAAAAAAAACAAUAGAAGAAUUCCAUUUUCCUUCCUCAGUUAUCGGAGAACUCUCUUUGGGCUUUCCGAAAAGGUAUCACAUGCCAAGUUUGGCCUCACGGUCUAAAAGAUAUAGAGUCAUACAUUAUUAACAAAACAAAAUAGAGAAAAACCGAAAAAAAGAAGGAUGCAACACGAGGACUUUGCGGGAGGUAAUCUAUCCUAGUACUACUCUCGCCCAAGCACCCUUAACUGCGGAGUUCUGAUGGGAUCCGGUGCAUUAGUGCUGGUAUGAUCGCAUGUGUUACUACAUGCAAUGUAAUCGUAUCUAUUCUUUUUUAAAGACUUUAUGAUCCAUUUGCCGUGGGUCCNNNNNNNNNNNNNNNNNNNNNNNNNNNNNNNNNNNNNNNNNNNNNNNNNNACAUGCCAAGUUUGGCCUUACGGUCUAAAAGUUAUAGAGUAAUACANUUUUUAACAAAAAAAAAAGAAAAAAACCGAAAACAAAGAGGGAUGCAACACGAAGACUUUCCUGGAGGUCACCCAUCCUAGUACUACUCUCGCCCAAGCACACUUAACUGCGGUGUUCUGAUAGGAUCAAGUGCAUUAGUGCUGGUAUGAUCGCAUCAGUUACUACAUGCAAUGCAAUCAUAUAUAUUCUUUUUUGAAGACUUUAUGAUCCAUUUGCCGUAGGUCCCACCAGCUAUGUAGGAAUACCCUAUCUCGUUUAUAAGAGCUUUGAUACAUGCAAAAUAUUCGAAAACAAUGUCCGAACAUAUAAUUUUUGUCCCGUAAUAUAGCAAAGAUCGCGAAAAGGCCAUAAAAAAUACAUUUCGGUCAAAAUUUGGAGUAGAAAAAAAACCCUUCCUCAUUCAUUGGACAGCUCUCUUUGGGCUUUCCGAAAAGGUAUCACAUGCCAAGUUUGGCCUCACGGUCUAAACCUUAUAGACUCAUACAUUUUUCACAAAAAAAAGAAGAGAAAAACCAAAAAAAAGAGUGAUUAAACACGAGGACUUUCCUGGAGGUCACCCAUCCUAGUACUACUCUCGCCCAAGCACGCUUAACUGCGAAGUUCUGAUGGGAUCUGGUGCAUUAGUGCUGGUAUGAUCGCAUCUGUUACUACAUGCAAUGCAAUCGUAUUUAUUCUUUUUUGAAGAUUUUAUGAUUCAUUUACCGUGGGUCCCACCAGCUAUGUAGGAAUAACCUAUCUUAUUUAUAAAAGCUUUGAUACAUGCAAAAUAUUAGAAAACAAUGUCCGAACAUAUAAUGUUCGCCCCAAAAUAUAGCAAAGACCACAAAAAUGCCAUAAAAAGUACAUUAAGGUCAAAAUUUGGAGUAGGAAAAAAAUCAAUAGGAGAAUUCCAUUUUCCUUCCUUCAUUCAUCGGAGAGCUCUCUUUGGGCAUUCCAAAAAGGUAUCACAUGCCAAGUUUGGCCUCACGGUCUAAAAGUUAUAGAGUAAUACAUUUUUAACAAAAAAAAAAGAAAAAAACCGAAAACAAAGAGGGAUGCAACACGAAGACUUUCCUGGAGGUCACCCAUCCUAGUACUACUCUCGCCCAAGCACACUUAACUGCGGUGUUCUGAUAGGAUCAAGUGCAUUAGUGCUGGUAUGAUCGCAUCAGUUACUACAUGCAAUGCAAUCAUAUAUAUUCUUUUUUGAAGACUUUAUGAUCCAUUUGCCGUAGGUCCCACCAGCUAUGUAGGAAUACCCUAUCUCGUUUAUAAGAGCUUUGAUACAUGCAAAAUAUUCGAAAACAAUGUCCGAACAUAUAAUUUUUGUCCCGUAAUAUAGCAAAGAUCACGAAAAGGCCAGAAAAAAUACAUUUCGGUCAAAAUUUGGAGUAGAAAAAAAACCCUUCCUCAUUCAUUGGACAGCUCUUUUUGGGCUUUCCGAAAAGGUAUCACAUGCCAAGUUUGGCCUCACGGUCUAAACCUUAUAGACUCAUACAUUUUUCACAAAAAAAAGAAGAGAAAAACCAAAAAAAAGAGUGAUUAAACACGAGGACUUUCCUGGAGGUCACCCAUCCUAGUACUACUCUCGCCCAAGCACGCUUAACUGCGAAGUUCUGAUGGGAUCUGGUGCAUUAGUGCUGGUAUGAUCGCAUCUGUUACUACAUGCAAUGCAAUCGUAUCUAUUCUUUUUUGAAGAUUUUAUGAUUCAUUUACCGUGGGUCCCACCAGCUAUGUAGGAAUAACCUAUCUUAUUUAUAAAAGCUUUGAUACAUGCAAAAUAUUCGAAAACAAUGUCCGAACAUAUAAUGUUCGCCCCAAAAUAUAGCAAAGACCACAAAAAUGCCAUAAAAAGUACAUUAAGGUCAAAAUUUGGAGUAGGAAAAAAAUCAAUAGGAGAAUUCCAUUUUCCUUCCCUCAUUCAUCGGAGAGCUCUCUUUGGGCAUUCCAAAAAGGUAUCACAUGCCAAGUUUGGCCUCACGGUCUAAAAGUUAUAGAGUAAUACAUUUUUAACAAAAACAAAAGAAAAAAACCGAAAACAAAGAGGGAUGCAACACGAAGACUUUCCUGGAGGUCACCCAUCCUAGUACUACUCUCGCCCAAGUACACUUAACUGCGGUGUUCUGAUAGGAUCAAGUGCAUUAGUGCUGGUAUGAUCGCAUCAGUUACUACAUGCAAUGCAAUCAUAUAUAUUCUUUUUUGAAGACUUUAUGAUCCAUUUGCCGUAGGUCCCACCAGCUAUGUAGGAAUACCCUAUCUUGUUUAUAAGAGCUUUCAUACAUGCAAAAUAUUCAAAAACAAUGUCCGAACAUAUAAUUUUUGUCCCGUAAUAUAGCAAAGAUCACGAAAAGGCCAGAAAAAAUACAUUUCGGUCAAAAUUUGGAGUAGAAAAAAAACCCUUCCUCAUUCAUUGGACAGCUCUCUUUGGGCUUUCUGAAAAGGUAUCACAUGCCAAGUUUGGCCUCACGGUCUAAACCUUAUAGACUCAUACAUUUUUCACAAAAAAAAGAAGAGAAAAACCAAAAAAAAGAGUGAUUAAACACGAGGACUUUCCUGGAGGUCACCCAUCCUAGUACUACUCUCGCCCAAGCACGCUUCACUGCGAAGUUCUGAUGGGAUCUGGUGCAUUAGUGCUGGUAUGAUCGCAUCUGUUACUACAUGCAAUGCAAUCGUAUCUAUUCUUUUUUGAAGAUUUUAUGAUUCAUUUACCGUGGGUCCCACCAGAUAGGAAUAACCUAUCUUAUUUAUAAAAGCUUUGAUACAUGCAAAAUAUUCGAAAACAAUGUCCGAACAUAUAAUGUUCGCCCCAAAAUAUAGCAAAGACCACAAAAAUGCAAUAAAAAGUACAUUAAGGUCAAAAUUUGGAGUAGGAAAAAAAUCAAUAGGAGAAUUCCAUUUUCCUUCCCUCAUUUAUCGGAGAGCUCUCUUUGGGCAUUCCAAAAAGGUAUCACAUGCCAAGUUUGGCCUCACGGUCUAAAAGUUAUAGAGUAAUACAUUUUUAACAAAACAAAAAAGAAAAAAACCGAAAACAAAGAGGGAUGCAACACGAAGACUUUCCUGGAGGUCACCCAUCCUAGUACUACUCUCGCCCAAGCACACUUAACUGCGGUGUUCUGAUAGGAUCAAGUGCAUUAGUGCUGGUAUGAUCGCAUCAGUUACUACAUGCAAUGCAAUCAUAUAUAUUCUUUUUUGAAGACUUUAUGAUCCAUUUGCCGUAGGUCCCACCAGCUAUGUAGGAAUACCCUAUCUUGUUUAUAAGAGCUUUGAUACAUGCAAAAUAUACGAAAACAAUGUCCGAACAUAUAAUUUUUGUCCCGUAAUAUAGCAAAAAGGCCAGAAAAAAUACAUUUCGGUCAAAAUUUGGAGUAGAAAAAAAACCCUUCCUCAUUCAUUGGACAGCUCUCUUUGGGCUUUCCGAAAAGGUAUCACAUGCCAAGUUUGGCCUCACGGUCUAAACCUUAUAGGCUCAUACAUUUUUCACAAAAAAAAGAAAAGAAAAACCAAAAAAAAGAGUGAUUAAACACGAGGACUUUCCGGGAGGUCACCCAUCCUAGUACUACUCUCGCCGAAGCACGCUUAACUGCGAAGUUCUGAUGGGAUCUGGUGCAUUAGUGCUGGUAUGAUCGCAUCUGUUACUACAUGCAAUGCAAUCGUAUCUAUUCUUUUUUGAAGAUUUUAUGAUUCAUUUACCGUGGGUCCCACCAGCUAUGUAGGAAUAACCUAUCUUAUUUAUAAAAGCUUUGAUACAUGCAAAAUAUUCGAAAACAAUGUCCGAACAUAUAAUGUUCGCCCCAAAAUAUAGCAAAGACCACAAAAAUGCCAUAAAAAGUACAUUAAGGUCAAAAUUUGGAGUAGGAAAAAAAUCAAUAGGAGAAUUCCAUUUUCCUUCCCUCAUUCAUCGGAGAGCUCUCUUUGGGCAUUCCAAAAAGGUAUCACAUGCCAAGUUUGGCCUCACGGUCUAANAGUUAUAGAGUAAUACAUUUUUAACAAAAAAAAAAGAAAAAAACCGAAAACAAAGAGGGAUGCAACACGAAGACUUUCCUGGAGGUCACCCAUCCUAGUACUACUCUCGCCCAAGUACACUUAACUGCGGUGUUCUGAUAGGAUCAAGUGCAUUAGUGCUGGUAUGAUCGCAUCAGUUACUACAUGCAAUGCAAUCAUAUAUAUUCUUUUUUGAAGACUUUAUGAUCCAUUUGCCGUAGGUCCCACCAGCUAUGUAGGAAUACCCUAUCUUGUUUAUAAGAGCUUUGAUACAUGCAAAAUAUUCGAAAACAAUGUCCGAACAUAUAAUUUUUGUCCCGUAAUAUAGCAAAGAUCACGAAAAGGCCAGAAAAAAUACAUUUCGGUCAAAAUUUGGAGUAGAAAAAAAGCCCUUCCUCAUUCAUUGGACAGCUCUCUUUGGGCUUUCCGAAAAGGUAUCACAUGCCAAGUUUGGCCUCACGGUCUAAACCUUAUAGACUCAUACAUUUUUCACAAAAAAAAGAAGAGAAAAACCAAAAAAAAGAGUGAUUAAACACGAGGAUUUUCCUGGAGGUCACCCAUCCUAGUACUACUCUCGCCCAAGCACGCUUAACUGCGAANNNNNNNNNNNNNNNNNNNNNNNNNNNNNNNNNNNNNNNNNNNNNNNNNNGUGUUACUACAUGCAAUGUAAUCGUAUCUAUUCUUUUUUAAAGACUUUAUGAUCCAUUUGCCGUGGGUCCCACCAGCUAUGUAGGAAUAUCCUAUAUUCUUUAUAAGAGCUUUGAUACAUGCAAAAUAUUCGAAAACAAUGUCCGAACAUAUAAUUUCCCCCCCGUAAUAUAGCAAAGAUCACGAAAAGGCCCAAAAAAGUACAUUAAGUUUAAAAUUUGGAGUAGAAAAAAAACCAAUAGAAAAAUUCCAUUUUCCUUCCUCAGUCAUCGAAGAGCUCUCUUUGGGCUUUCUGAAAAGGUAUCACAUGCCAAGUUUGGCCUCACGGUCUAAAAGUUAUAGAGUCAUACAUUUUUAACAAAACAAAAAGAGAAAAACCGAAAAAAACAGGGAUGCAACACGAGGACUUUCCUGGAGGUCUCCCAUCCUAGUACUACUCUCGCCCAAGCACCCUUAACUGCGUAGUUCUGAUGGGAUCCGAUGCAUUAGUGCUGGUAUGAUCGCAUCUGUUACUACAUGCAAUGUAAUCGUAUCUAUUCUUUUUUAAAGACNUUUAUGAUCCAUUUGCCGUGGGUCCCACCAGCUAUGUAGGAAUACCCUAUCUUCUUAAUAAGAGCCUUGAUAAAUGCAAAAUAUUGGAAAACAAUGUCCGAACAUAUAAUGCCCCCCCCCCCGUAAUAUAGCAAAGAUCACGAAAAUGCCCAAAAAAGUACAUUUAGGUCAAAAUUUGAGUAGAAAAAAAAACAAUAGAAGAAUUCCAUUUUCCUUCCUCAUUUAUCGGAGAGCUCUCUUUGGGCUUUCCGAAAAGGUAUCACAUGACAAGUUUGGCCUCACGGUCUAAAAGAUAUAGAGUCAUACAUUAUUAACAAAACAAAAUAGAGAAAAACCGAAAAAAAAGAGGGAUGCAACGCGAGGACUUUCCGGGAGGUAAUCUAUCCUAGUACUACUCUCGCCCAAGCACCCUUACCUGCGGAGUUCUGAUGGGAUCCGGUGCAGUAGUGCUGGUAUGAUCGCAUGUGUUACUACAUGCAAUGCAAUCAUAUAUAUUCUUUUUUGAAGACUUUAUGAUCCAUUUGCCGUAGGUCCCACCAGCUAUGUAGGAAUACCCUAUCUUGUUUAUAAGAGCUUUGAUACAUGCAAAAUAUUCGAAAACAAUGUCCGAACAUAUAAUUUUUGUCCCGUAAUAUAGCAAAGAUCACGAAAAGGCCAGAAAAAAUACAUUUCGGUCAAAAUUUGGAGUAGAAAAAAACCCCUUCCUCAUUCAUUGGACAGCUCUCUUUGGGCUUUCCGAAAAGGUAUCACAUGCCAAGUUUGGUCUCACGGUUUAAAAGUUAUAGAGUCAUACAUUUUUCACAAAAAAAAGAAGAGAAAAAACAAAAAAAAGAGUGAUGAAACACGAGGACUUUCCUAGAGGUCACCCAUCCUAGUACUACUCUCGCCCAAGCACGCGUAACUGCGAAGUUCUGAUGGGAUCUGGUGCAUUAGUGCUGGUAUGAUCGCAUCUGUUACUACAUGCAAUGCAAUCGUAUCUAUUCUUUUUUGAAGAUUUUAUGAUCCAUUUGCAGUGGGUCCCACCAGCUAUGUAGGAAUACCCUAUCUUGUUUAUAAGAGCUUUGAUACAUGCAAAAUCUUCGAAAACAAUGUCCGAACAUAUAAUUUUCGCCCCGUAAUAUAGCAAAGAUCACGAAAAUGCCAAAAUAGUACAUUAAGGUCAAAAUUUGGAGUAGGAAAAAAAACCCUUCAUCAUUCAUUGGAGAGCUCUCUCUGGGCUUUCCGAAAAGGUAUCACAUGCCAAGUUUGGCCUCACGGUCUAAAAGUUAUAAAGUCAUACAUUUUUAACAAAAAAAAAAGAGAAAAACCGAAAAAAAGAGUUAUGUAACACGAGGACUUUCCUGGAGGUCACCCGUCCUAGUACUACUCUCGCCCAAACACGCUUAACUGUGGUGUUCUGAUAGGAUCAAGUGCAUUAGUGCUGGUAUGAUCGCAUCAGUUACUACAUGCAAUGCAAUCAUAUAUAUUCUUUUUUGAAAACUUUAUGAUCCAUUUGCCGUAGGUCCCACCAGCUAUGUCGGAAUACCCUAUCUUGUUUAUAAGAGCUUUGAUACAUGCAAAAUAUUCGAAAACAAUGUCCGAACAUAUAAUUUUUGUCCCGUAAUAUAGCAAAGAUCACGAAAAGGCCAAAAAAAAUACAUUUCGGUCAAAAUUUGGAGUAGAAAAAAACCCCUUCCUCAUUCAUUCGACAACUCUCUUUGGGCUUUCCGAAAAGGUAUCACAUGCCAAGUUUGGUCUCACGGUCUAAAAGUUAUAGAGUCAUACAUUUUUCACAAAAAAAAGAAGAGAAAAAACCAAAAAAAGAGUGAUGAAACACGAGGACUUUCCUGGAGGUCACUCAUGCUAGUACUACUCUCGCCCAAGCACGCUUAACUGCGAAGUUCUGAUGGGAUCUGGUGCAUUGGUGAUGGUAUGAUCGCAUCUGUUACUACAUGCAAUGCAAUCGUAUCUAUUUUUUUUUGAAGAUUUUAUGAUCCAUUUGCAGUGUGUCCCACCAGCUAUGUAGGAAUACCCUAUCUUGUUUAUAAGAGCUUUGAUACAUGCAAAAUAUUCGAAAACAAUGUCCGAACAUAUAAUUUUUGUCCCGUAAUAUAGCAAAGAUCACGAAAAGACCAGAAAAAAUACAUUUCGGUCAAAAUUUGGAGUAGAAAAAAAACCCUUCCUCAUUCAUUGGACAGCUCUCUUUGGGCUUUCCGAAAAGGUAUCACAUGCCAAGUUUGGUCUCACGGUUUAAAAGUUAUAGAGUCAUACAUUUUUCACAAAAAAAAGAAGAGAAAAAACAAAAAAAAGAGUGAUGAACCACGAGGACUUUCCUGGAGGUCACCCAUCCUAGUACUACUCUCGCCCAAGCACGCGUAACUGCGAAGUUCUGAUGGGAUCUGGUGCAUUAGUGCUGGUAUGAUCACAUCUGUUACUACAUGCAAUGCAAUCGUAUCUAUUCUUUUUUGAAGAUUUUAUGAUCCAUUUGCAGUGGGUCCCACCAGCUAUGUAGGAAUACCCUAUCUUGUUUAUAAGAGCUUUGAUACAUGCAAAAUCUUCGAAAACAAUGUCCGAACAUAUAAUUUUCGCCCCGUAAUAUAGCAAAGAUCACGAAAAUGCCAAAAUAGUACAUUUAGGUCAAAAUUUGGAGUAGGAAAAAAAAACCUUCAUCAUUCAUUGGAUAGCUCUCUCUGGGCUUUUCGAAAAGGUAUCACAUGCCAAGUUUGGCCUCACGGUCUAAAAGUUAUAAAGUCAUACAUUUUUAACAAAAAAAAAAGAGAAAAACCGAAAAAAAGAGUUAUGAACCACGAGGACUUUCCUGGAGGUCACCCGUCCUAGUACUACUCUCGCCCAAACACGCUUAACUGCGGUGUUCUGAUAGGAUCAAGUGCAUUAGUGCUGGUAUGAUCGCAUCAGUUACUACAUGCAAUGCAAUCAUAUAUAUUCUUUUUUGAAGACUUUAUGAUCCAUUUGCCGUAGGUCCCACCAGCUAUGUAGGAAUACCCUAUCUUGUUUAUAAGAGCUUUGAUACAUGCAAAAUAUUCGAAAACAAUGUCCGAACAUAUAAUUUUUGUCCCGUAAUAUAGCAAAGAUCACGAAAAGGCCAAAAAAAAUACAUUUCGGUCAAAAUUUGGAGUAGAAAAAAACCCCUUCCUCAUUCAUUGGACAGCUCUCUUUGGGCUUUCCGAAAAGGUAUCACAUGCCAAGUUUGGUCUCACGGUCUAAAAGUUAUAGAGUCAUACAUUUUUCAGAAAAAAAAGAAGAGAAAAAACCAAAAAAAGAGUGAUGAAACACGAGGACUUUCUUGGAGGCCACCCAUCCUAGUACUACUCUCGCCCAAGCACGCUUAACUGCGAAGUUCUGAUGGGAUCUGGUGCAUUAGUGAUGGUAUGAUCGCAUCUGUUACUACAUGCAAUGCAAUCGUAUCUAUUCUUUUUUGAAGAUUUUAUGAUCCAUUUGCAGUGGGUCCCACCAGCUAUGUAGGAAUACCCUAUCUUGUUUAUAAGAGCUUUGAUACAUGCAAAAUAUUCGAAAACAAUGUCCGAACAUAUAAUUUUCGCCCCGUAAUAUAGCAAAGAUCACGAAAAUGCCGAAAUAGUACAUUAAGGUCAAAAUUUGGAGUAGGAAAAAAAAACCUUCCUCAUUCAUUGGAGAGCUCUCUUUGGGUUUUCCGAAAAGGUAUCACAUGCCAAGUUUGGCCUCACGGUCUAAAAGUUAUAAAGUCAUACAUUUUUAACAAAAAAAAAAAGAGAAAAACCGAAAAAAAGAGUUAUGCAACACGAGGACUUUCCUGGAGGUCACCCGUCCUAGUACUACUCUCGCCCAAACACGCUUAACUACGGUGUUCUGAUAGGAUCAAGUGCAUUAGUGCUGGUAUGAUCGCAUCAGUUACUACAUGCAAUGCAAUCAUAUAUAUUCUUUUUUGAAGACUUCAUGAUCCAUUUGCCGUAGGUCCCACCAGCUAUGUAGGAAUACCCUAUCUUGUUUAUAAGAGCUUUGAUACAUGCAAAAUAUUCGAAAACAAUGUCCGAACAUAUAAUUUUUGUCCCGUAAUAUAGCAAAGAUCACGAAAAGGCCAGAAAAAAUAAAUUUCGGUCAAAAUUUAGAGUAGAAAAAAACCCCUUCCUCAUUCAUUGGACAACUCUCUUUGGGCUUUCCGAAAAGGUAUCACAUGCCAAGUUUGGCCUCACGGUCUAAAAGUUAUAGAGUCAUACAUUUUUCACAAAAAAAAGAAGAGAAAAACCAAAAAAAAGAGUGAUGAAACACGAGGACUUUCCUGGAGGUCACCCAUCCUAGUACUACUCUCGCCCAAGCACGCUUAACGGCGGUGUUCUGAUAGGAUCAAUUACAUUUGUGCUGGUAUGAUCGCAUCAGUUACUACAUGCAAUGCGAUCAUAUAUAUUCUUUUUUGAAGACUUUACAAUCCAUUUGUCGUAGGUCCCACCAGCUAUGUAGGAAUCCCCUAUCUUGUUUAUAAGAGCUUUGAUACAUGCAAAAUAUUCGAAAACAAUGUUCGAACAUAUAAUUUUUCGCCCCGUAAUAUAGCAAAGAUCACGAAAAGGCCAGAAAAAGUACAUUUAGGUCAAAAUUUGGAGUAGAAAAAACCCCCCCUUCCUCAUUCAUUGGAGAGCUCUCUUUGGGCUUUCCGGAAAGGUAUCACAUGCCAAGUUUGGCCUCACGGUCUAAACCUUAUAGACUCAUACAUUUUUAACAAAAAAAAGAAGAGAAAAAACGAAAAAAAGAAGGAUACAACACGAGGACUUUCCGAGAGGUUACCCAUCUUCGUACUACUCUCGCACAAGUACGCUUAACUGCGGAGUUCUGAUGGGAUCUGGUGCAUUAGUGCUGGUAUGAUCGCAUCUGUUAUUACAUGCAAUGCAAUCGUAUCUAUUCUUUUUUCAAGACUUUAUGAUCCAUUUGCCGUGGGUCCCACCAGCUACGUAGGAAUACCCUAUCUUGUUUAUAAGAGCUUUGAUACAUGCAAAAUAUUCGAAAACAAUGUCCGAACAUAUAAUUUUCGUCCCGUAAUAUAGCAAAGAUCACAAAAAGGCCAGAAAGAGUACAUUUACGUCAAAAUUUGGAUAGAAAAAAAACAAAUAGAAGAAUUCCAUUUUGACUUCCUCAUUCAUCGGAAAGCUCUCUUUGGGCUUUCCGAAAAGGUAUCACAUGCCAAGUUUGGAAUCACGGUUUAAAAGUUAUAGAGUCAUACAUUUUUAACAAAAAAUAAAGAGAAAACCCGAAAAAUGAGGGAUGCAACACGAGGACUUUUCGGGAGGUCACCCAUCGUAGUACUACUCUCGCCCAAGCACGCUUAACUGUAGAGUUCUGAUGGGAUCCGGUUCAUUAUUGCUGGUAUGAUCGCAUCCGUUACUACAUGCAAUGCAAUCGUAUCUAUUCUUUUUUGAAGACUUUAUGAUCCAUUUGCCGUGGGUCCCACCAGCUAUGUUGGAAUACCCUAUCUUGUUUAUAAGAGCUUUGUUACAUGCAAAAUAUUCGAAAACAAUGUCCGAACAUAUAAUAUUUGCCCCGUAAUAUAGCAAAGAUCACGAAAAGGCCAGAAAACCUAUAUUAAGUUCAAAAUUUGGAGUAGAAAAAAACCAAUAGAAGAAUUCCAUUUUCCUUCCUCACUCAUCGGAGAGCUCUCUUUGGGGCUUUCCGAAAAGGUAUCACAUGCAAAGUUUGGCCUCACAGGCUAAAAGUUAUAGAGUCGUACAUUUUUAACAAAAAAAAAAAGAGAAAAGCCGAAAAAAAGAAGGAUGCAACACAAGGACUUUCCGGGAGGUCAGCCAUCCUAAUAUUACUCUCGCCCAAGCACGCUUAACUGUAGAGUUCUGAUGGGAUCCGGUGCAUUAGUGCUGGUAUGAUCGCAUCUGUUACUACAUGCAAUGCAAUCGUAUCUAUUCUUUUUUUAAGACUUUAUGAUCCAUUUACCGUGGGUCCCACCAGCUACGUAGGAAUAACCUAUCUUAUUUAUAAGAGCUUUGAUACAUGCAAAAUAUUCGAAAACAAUGUCCGAACAUAUAAUUUUCGUCCCGUAAUAUAGCAAAGAUCACAAAAAGGCCAGAAAGAGUACAUUAAGGUCAAAAUUUUGGAGUAGAAAAAAAAACCCUUCCUCAUUCAUUAAAGAGCUCUCUUUGGCAUUUCCGAAAAGGUGUCACAUGCCAAGUUCGGCCUCACGGUCUAAAAGUUAUAGAGUCAUACAUUGUUAACAAAAAAAAAGAGAAAAACCGAUUAAAAGAGUUAUGCAACACAAGGACUUUCCUGGAGGUCACCCGUCCUAGUACUACUCUCGCCCAAGCACGCUUAAAUGCGGAGUUCUGAUGGGAUCCGGUCCAUGAGUGGUGGUAUGAUCACAUCCGUUACUACAUGCAAUGCAAUCGUAUCUAUUAUUUUUUGAAGACUUUAUGAUCCAUUUGCCGUGGGUCCCACCAGCUAUGUAGGAAUACCCUAUCUUGUUUAUAAGAGCUUUGAUACAUCCAAAAUAUUCGAAAACAAUGUUGGAACGUAUAAGUUUCGCUCAGUAAUAUAGCAAAGAUCACGAAAAGGCCACAAAAAGUACAUUAAGGUAAAAAUUUAGAGUAGGAAAAAAAAACAAUAGGAGAAUUCCAUGUUCCUUCCUCAAUCAUCGGAGAGCUCUCUUUGGGCUUUCCAAAAAGGUAUCACAUGCCAAGUUUGGCCUCACGGUCUAAAAGUUAUAGAGUCAUACAUUUUUAACAAAAAAAAAUAGAGAAAAACCAAAAAAAAGAGGGAUGCAACACGAAGACUUUCCUGGAGGUCACCCAUCCUAGUACUACUCUCGCCCAAGCACGCUUAACUGCGGUGUUCUGAUAGGAUCAAGUGCAUUAGUGCUGGUAGGAUCGCAUUCGUUACUACAUGCAAUGCAAUUAUAUAUAUUCUUUUUUGAAGACUUUAUGAUCCAUUUGCGGUAGGUCCCACCAGCUAUGUAGGAAUACCCUAUCUUGCUUAUAAGAGUUUUGAUACAUGCAAAAAUAUUCGAAAACAAUGUCCGAACAUAUAAUUUUUGUCCCGUAAUAUAACAAAGAUCACGAAAAGGCCAAAAAUAGUACAUUUCGGUCAAAACAUGGAGCAGAAAAAAAACCCCUUCCUCAUUCAUCGGAGAGCUCUCAUUGGGCUUUCCGAAAAGAUAUCACAUGCAAAGUUUGGCCUCACGGUUUAAAAGUUAUAGAGUCAAAUAUUUUUAACAAAAAAAAGAGAGAAAAACCGAAAACAAAGAGGGAUGCAACACGAGGACUUUCCGGAAGGUCACCCAUCCUAGUACUACUCUAGCCCAAGCACGCUUAACCGCGGAGUUCUGAUAGGAUCCGGUGCAUUAGUGCUGGUAUGAUCGCAUCAGUUACUACAUGCAAUGCAAUCAUAUAUAUUUUUUUUGAAGACUUUAUGAUCCAUUUGCCGUGGGUCCCACCAGCUAUGUAGGAAUACCUAUCUUGUUUAUAAGAGCUUUGAUACAUGCAAAAUAUUUGAAAACAAUGUCCGAACGUAUAAUCUUCGUCCCGUAAUAUAGCAAAGAUCACGAAAAGGCCAGAAAAAGUACAUUAAGGUCAAAAUUUUGACUAGAAAAAAAAAACAAUAGAAAAAUUCCAUUGUCCUUCCUCAUUCAUCGGAGAGUUCUCUUUGGGCUUUCCGAAAAGGUAUCACAUGCCAAGUUUGGCCUCACGGUCUAAAACUUAUAGAAUCAUACAUUCUUAACAAAAAAAAAAAAAAAACCGAAAAAAAGAAGAAUGCAACACAAGGACUUUCCAGGAGGUCAACCAUCCUAGUAGUACUCUCGCCCAAUCACGCUUAACUGCAGAGUUCUGAUGGGAUCCGGUGCAUUAGUGCUGGUAUGAUCGCAUC
rnacentral:lncRNA from 1 species